GUUGAUGCAGUAUGUACAUAUGGUGUAAAUAAAAAUUGAUGGGUAUGUCUUAUGUAUAUCCGAAGAUGCCACAUCUUUGCUUACGCGAUCUUUCCUGGAAGAACAGUCUUGGAGACUAGCCAAUCUGAAUAUCACACACGUCGAUACAAAUAGGAUAAUUUUCUUGGUCGCUAAGCCAGUCCAUAAAGUACACGAACUUACUUCUUUUCGUGUCCCCCACAAAUUGUAUCGUCCAAGUUCACAUUACCAGAAGCCUAUAAAUAACACAUUCAUUCAUUCGUUCAUUCAUUACUCCUUAUCUUCCUGAUCAUCCUCAACUUCAUCGUCUUGUACGAGCUUGUUUUCCUUCUUCUGCUGCAGUGUAUAUUAUACCCACAACUUUAACCGCAUCAUACUCAUAUAUCUACAUUGAUUCAUUAUCUUCUGUUUCAAGCUUAGCCAUGGCAACAGCAUCUGGUUUUGGAGGAACUACUCUAGCAGAAGUUUAUGUCAUGAGAAAGUUACAUAAAGAAAAGAUGAAGGAACUCAUGAAGAAAGAAGCAGCAGCAGAGAGAGGAGUUGCUAAGGAAAAGAAAAUCAAGAAAUCCAGUGGUUCUUUCUUUGGGGUUUUCAAGAAGGGCCAUUCUGCCAAAGUCUCUUCAGGUGAAGAUCUUGGAAGUUAAGUCUGCAUUUGGUUGUCUUGAAGAAAACGCUGUUUCUAGUCAUGCUAUAUAUUUGCAGUUUAGGCCUAUGAUUAACGAUUAACAUCUUUCUUUAAUUUGUUUGAGGAUAUUAAAGUUCUUAAUAUAGAAAAGAAAAAUCCAAGAUGAGGAAUGUUAUUGUUUUAUAUGUUUGUUGAAAUAUUGGAUCUCAUCUCUUGUAAAAAGAUUGUCUUCUCAAUUAUAUUUUGUUCACAAUAGCUAAUUCUUGUAUACCGUUUUCUAUUUUAACUAAUUCUUUUUUUUUUUCUUUAAUUUUUUCAAUAUUUGAAGAACGGGAUUGAGAAUCAAAGUCACCUUAUAUGAAAUGAGUACCGUUUUAAAUUAGCUCUAAAAGGAUUUGGGAAAUUCCUUUCAAUGAUAACAAGUGACAUGAGAAUCAUUAGAUGCCCCAUUCAACUAAAAUUAAAAUUUAGAUGCCCAAUUAUUAAAAUUUAAAAAGUUCAAGAUCCAAAUAUGUAAUUAUCUAUAUACAUAUAUACAUAUAUGCUGCAUUGCUAUGCUAUAUAUAUAUAUAUAUGCCGCCCACUGCAUGCCACGUAUUUGCUUACGCAACAAUCUUGGAAACAAGCACUCUGAAUCUCACAUAUGUUUAAACAAACAGUAGUCUAAUUUUCUUGGUGGCGAAGCCAAUCAACAAUUUUCUUUUUCCUGCAUCAUAUAUUCAUGUCUAGAUUGAUUAUCCGGUUUUGGAGGAACUACUCUAGCAGAAGUUUAUGUCAUGAAAAAGUUACAUAAAGCAAAGAUGAAGGAAUUUAUGAAGAAAGAAGCAUCGGAGAAAGGAGUUGCUGUUGCUAAUGAAAAGAAGAGGAAGAAAAUUGCGGUUCUUUCUUCAGGGUCUUCAAGAAGCGUCAUUCUGCUAAAGUCUCUUCAAAUAAAGAUUAUGGAAGUUCAGUGUGCCUAAGGCUGUCUUGAAGAAAAUACUGUUUCUUGCCAUACUAAGGAUUAUAAAUCUUUCUUUUUAAUUUAUUUUAGGGCUUUUAGUUGGCAUAUUCAAAGUAUUGUAAAAAGAAAAUGUUCUCAAUUAUAUAUCUUGUUAGACUUCUGGGAAUCUUAUUCCUGGUACAUUUUUCUAAUAUUAACUUUUCUUUUACAUUUAAUUUUGUCAAUGUUGAAGAUGGUGAUUGAUUUGAGAUUCAACUCCACCUUAUGAAAUUAGUAGCACUCUAAACUAGCACUUUUGCGAGUUGAGUAAUUGAUUAAGUAAUGGAAGUUUCCUAAAGGAUUGGGUUUAACCCCAAAUCAUCCAAAAGGGAGAGUCCUUUAUCAGAGCCAAACUUGCAAAAGAAUCAUUCAUCCAAUAAUAACAAGUGACAUGAGAACCAUUUACUUUAUAUAUGGAUAGAAGAGUCCCACUCUUUUAAGCCUUUUGUACCAACUUAUCAUAUAAUUUAUUAGGUGUUUUUCUUUCAAUGGAAUAUUAUUUUAACUAACACUUACUGAAUUGAGAUACCAGUUUCAUUGUAUAAUUUCUCUUUCUUUUAGCCCUUUUUGUGCUCCUGAAUUGAAUUUCAGUUACUUCCAUCGCUAAUAUUUUUCUAAUUUGUUACCAUUGUUCAUGCAAAAAAAAAAAAAAAAAACACUACCAAAAUCCAUCUUCAAUCACUUUCAUGGGCACUUUUCAGGGCUUAAAGGGCAAUUUGCCCCCCAAACCUAGACACGAUUGCCAAUUUAUCCAUUCUUUAAAACUUUUUAGCCCAUCAACCCUCAUACUUAUCAAAAGUGGUCUAAAUACCAAUUUUUUAAUCUGUUAAUGAUGCGUGAAAUUCAAUUUCACUCUAAAGCCUGUAAAUUCUUUUUAUUGAAUAAUAUUUUGUAAAAAAGUUGAUUUUAAAAAAACAAAGUUUCUUAUUAUUGAUUUUUUAGCUAAAUCAAAAUCAUAAUGAACAGAAGAAAUAUUUAAAUAAAAAAUUAACAAUUUUAUAACCCAAAACUAAAAUCCAGCAAACACCAAAUCCUCUGUCUAUCUAAAAUCAAAACUAAGAAUGAAAAAAAAAAAUUCUUAGAAUCAACAUAAUAAAUCGAAACAAAAUGCUUUCCUUCUUUACAAACAAUCCCACAAAUAGUCCCAUUUCCUGCAUAACAUCCACCUCCACCAAUUUGUUGUUUUUUUACCGUCCUUAAUAUCCUCUUCCACUGCCAACAUCAUAUCAUCAUCACUUCCACUCUUAAAUUUGCACAUCAUAUUAUUGCUUAUGUUCUCUUUUUUUUUUCUUCAUGUUGAUGACAUUCUAGUUCUUGAUUUCUUAAUCUUGGUCUAUAUAGUUUUUUUUUUUUUUGUUAAUAAUCUUCCUGAUUUGGGUAGCUUGAAAGACAUUGGUACAAAUCAAAAGAGAUUAGGAGAGAAUGGACACAAAUCCAAAAGGACUGGUAUGAAGAUUGAAUAAACUCUUCAUGGAUUUAUAUUUUAUUUAUUUAUAUAUAUGUAUAUAUUUAAUAUUUUUAAUGAGUAAAUCUGAGUUCGCAAGACAUGCGCCACUUUAAAGCUAAUUGAUGGGUAAAAUGACCACUUUUGACAAAUUGGUGGAUAAAAUAACAAAAAAUUAAAAUAUAGGUGAUUUGUGUAUUGGCCCCAAUUUGCCCUUUAAGCCGCUUUUCAGUGAUACUCUUUUCUUAAUAUUGGGCUUCCAAACACAGGCAACAAGUAUUUUAAUGGUUGUAGCCCAUCAACUAUUGGGCUAGAGUUCAUUAAACAAACCCUUUUUUUCUUUUCUUUUCUUUUUUCCUUUUUUAACAAAUUCAAAAGAAUGCUGUUAUUUACAACAUGUAUUCAGUAUAUAUAAGUAGACCUGUUCAUGGGCCGGGCUUGGGCAGGUUCGGGCCGGGCCUGACCGGACUUGACUUUAUUUUGAACAAGCCCGAGCCUGCCCAAGCCCGAGAAUUUUUUAAUAUCUUUUAGCCCAAGUCCGAGCUCGAAAUUUUUUAAAAAGCUCGGCCCGGCCCGAGCAAUUGUUAAACCUAUAAAUACGGAUCGGGUCUGGGCGGGUUCGGGUCGGGCUUGGCGGGUUCGGAUCGGGCUUGAGUUUAAUUUUAUUUAAAUAUAUUAUUAAUAACAAUAAAAUUAUAAACAGAACUAAUAGGUAGCUAAUUGGUAUGUAGCACUUAAUUAUAAGUUGAAGGUCGAAAGUUUGAAUGCUAGGUAUGACGUUUUUUUUUUCCUAAUUAAACUAAACAUCGGGCCGGGUCGGGUCUGGUUUGGGUUUUUAUGAAAAUUCCAAGCCCGGCCCGAAAAAUUUGGGCUUUUUAUGGGUUCGGGUCGGACUAGACUUGUACACAAAAAUUAUUGUUCAAGGCCGGCCCAAAGAGUGCGGGCCUGGGCGGGUACCCAGGCUCAUGAACAGGUCUAGAUAUAAGUACUGAAUUUAGUACAAUUUUUUUGGGUGAAAUCUGCGAGUUCUAACAGUCAAUCUUACAUCCCACAAAAAAAAAAAAACAGAACUUUUGACUUCUAUCCUUCUCCCUGUAUUAAUACAAAAUGUAAUAGUAUAUGAAUGAAUUGGAUGACAUAUAAGAAAAUAGAUUUUGAGAUUCCAUGGGAAUCAUUAAGGUGAAAGAAAAGAAAAAAAAAUUAUUUCAAAAUCCAAAACCCACUUUAACCCAAGAAUUAUAUAUCCUAACUCCCUUAAACCCAAUAAUUAUAUCUCAUAAUGGCAUCAUUUUCCAUUGUAAGCUUCCUUUUUAUUGAUGGGUCCUGUCCUAAAAACUUUCUCCUUCGAAGUCAUUUCUUUAAUUACCAAAUGUCAUAUGUACUCAUAAAACCCACACUCUAUGGGACUCAGGUCAAGAAAGGCACUUACGAAUAAUAAAACCAUUUUCAGAAGAUCUUAAAAGUGGGAGUUGUUGAAUGAUACCCUUUGUCUAAAUUCACUUUCUCAAUAGCUAGGAAAGAUUGCUAAUUAGGCAAAUGGGUAGGACCCAUAAUUUAAGAUCAUCAUAUUAAGGAGAACCAAAUCACUAAAGAAACCCAUUAAGCCUAAAGUUUUACAACAUAAUCCCUUUUGUUUUUGUUUGUUUUGCAUUUCUUUUUAGGGGUCAUUAGCACUUUGCCUUUCUUCCUUUUCAGUCUUUUUCUAAUUCCACACAAUUGAACAGUGAAUACGAGGAUCUUUAUAGAUGUAAUGCACGUGAUAAGAAAGGGGGUUAUCACGUGAUAAAGGGCCAUUGGCUUAGCUGUGAAGAUAUAAUGCUAAUCUCAUCCGACUAGAAACCAAUAGACUAGACCAUACCCAUGUGCUUUUGUGUAUAUUUAAAUUACAAGUAGACCCCAUUGAUGCAAAAAUUUCCAUGCCUAAAUUCUUGCAUUCUUGAAAUUGAACCCACUGCUCAUCAAUCACCACUUGUUUGUUGCUUCAUAUUUUGGCUACCUUACACCUCCUAUUUGUCUAUUUUCCCUUUUGAUCAAUCAUCCGAUCAAUGUAUAAAAAAAAAAAAAAGCAACUUUAAAUUUGUUUCACCAUAAGAGAACAAUAUAAAUCGAUUCGAGUUAUUUUACUAUUUUAAAUAAAAUUACAUGUAAAUUUUAAAAUUAAAUAUAAUUUUUUAUUUUUAUAUAUUUUAUAACUCGAAAAGAAUAUGUAAUUAUUAUUACCUAUGGGGGUUCGGUCAAUAAUGUACUAUUUCAAUAAUUUACACCGAUUCCUUUUAUGAAGCUUGGCCUGGCUAGUCGAAGUACACAUGCAACAAUGUACAAAAUUUUCUUUUUUUUCAAGAGGGAUAUGUUUUUCAAUCCUGCAAUAAUAAUAUUGCAUCCGGAAAGAGCUAACAUUCUUAUCUUCGAAUGCAAAAUAUUGAAUAACUCAUGAUGAUUCUGCAACAGCCAGAAGAAUCCAAUUGCUAAAUCUGGUCCGAAACAUGUCCCCAGACCCUCCAAAGUGGAAACUAGUCAGUCUUGAUUAGUCAAUUACAACCCUCUGUUCUGUCACAUAUGGUGGUCCUGCGUAGCCAAUUGCAGCCCCCAGCCAAAAAAAAAGAAAAGAAAAGACUCAUAAUUUUUAUUAACAAUGUGGCUUAACUCGCUGGUUAUCCGAUCCAUUUAAGUGUAAAUUGUCAAAAUAAUUUAAUUAAAUUUAAUCAAAAUGUGCUAAGCCUAGUGUAAUAAUUAAUAUAAUAAUACCAGAUAUUCAUUUAAAAUAUUUGAAACAGUUUACGGUUUAAUUAUACAUAUCUUUUAAACCAAAACUUUAUUAAUACAUCUUAAUGUCUUUCCCAUACAGGGCGCAGCUCUGGGUUAUAAUAGUAAUUUACACAUUAGGCACAUGUCAUCAUGAUCAAAUAUAUUUAUAUAAUAAUUAAUCAACAAUGUCAAGCUGACAACAACAGUUUUCCAUGCUUUGGCGGGAUGUCUCUUUUCUUUAAUACCAUAUUAUUUAUCAUUCCUUCUCCAUCUUUACUAAAAAAAAUCCUUUACGACUGAUAGUAGAUAUUUCACCUUCAAUUUCACCUCCAUCUCACCUUAUUAAUUAAUUAAAUCCCAUUUCUUCUCUUAUAAUCUCUUUUUAUCAACCAAAAAUUCACUCUUUUCCGAAAAUCCCAACAACCCAAAUUAAUAAAAUAAAAAACACAACACAGUUCCUUGGAAAUCUCCUUCUCUCUCUUUCUCUCUCCCUCUCUCUGUCUGAAGCUAAGACAAAGAAAGAGAACCUUCUCUGUAAAGAUUCCCUAUUCUCGCUUCCACAUUAAGCACCCGGCAGAUCCGUCAAUUGGUACCUAACUAACCCCUCAUUUUAUUCAAACACUAAUACUAAAGUUUAAGUUUUUAUGUCAAAUCUUUGAAUAAAGUUUCUUAAUUUAAACUACCCAUGAUCUAAAUCUCAAGUAUUUGCUUAAAUCUCUUUGUUUUACUUCACUACAUUUUCUGGGUUCUGCAUUUCUUUAGUUAAAGUUCUAAUACUGGUAAAUGCAGUACUGUUUCUUUUGCCUUUUCUUUGUAUUAUUAUUUUUGUUUUGUUUUGUUUCUUAAGAAAUUUUAUUUUAUUUUAUUAUUUUGAAGCUUUCUUGAAGUAGACUUUCAAGGGUGCAUAUUUUUCUACAUUUAGCUAGACAUUUUGGUUUUUUGGAUUCUUUUUUACUCUUUGUUCUUUUGUGUCAGUCUUUUUUUGACCCUCUUUAAGUCUUUUACUGUGGAGUAGUAGCGGGUGCGUUUUUGGUGCUUGUUUGUCGUUUUAUGAGGUUGAGAUUUUGAAAAUCACUGUAUUCUUGUAGGGUUUGGAUCGUGGUGUGUCUUCUCUAGUUGGCAUUUUGAUAUAUCUUUUUUGGGGUUGACAAUUUAAGAAUGUUUAUGCCUCAUUGAAGCAGGUAUGAUCUACAAUUAGCUUAAAAUUUGUUACUUUUGUUCUCUUUAGCUGCAAUUUUGACUUGCAUUUGUUUUACCUUCUGUUUGGUUUCUGAGGAAAUGGACAAAAGGCAUGGAGUUGUUGCAAGUAGUUGGAUCUUGUCUUGUUUAGUGCUUUCUGGUUUUCCUUGGGAUCAGUGAUAGUGUCUGGGUCAAGGAUUUUGUAUCUGCAUUUGAGUUAGUUUUUUAUCCUGAUUGUGUUAUAAUUGAGGAAAGAGAUUUAUAAGAUACCAGAGAUGACACUUUACUAUUUGAAUUUGUUAUUAAUGGUUAUUUGUUUUCAUGCAAUGUUCAUUUGCUGCUGAAUUAACUUAAUACGUUAGUUAGUACUGGCGUGGUUGCAAUUAAAUGUGUUUGUUAUGACUUAGCUGUAGUUUACUGGUUCUUAUGCUGCCAUGGUUCUGUGAUCGGUUUUGUAUUUUUUAGUACUGCAAUUAUGUUUUCUAAAUGUACUUUUGGCUGUCCAUUUUUCAGUAGUUACACCUGAUACUUUUAGGUGCCGGGCUGUCUUAGUUGAAGUUUGCCUCAAGUUCUUUGUUUCCUUCAUUGUUUACUUUUUUUAUUUAUCUACAUAAAAUUUCUUGAUAACCUGCUUGCUGAAGUCUCGGGAAAUCAUCACAAUUCACAAUUCUCCAUGAUGGCUAUCCAGCUUGUUGGUUGCUGCUUCCAAAGAGAAUUUCAUUUGAACAAAAGCAUCAAUUCUACUUUCUUUGCCUGGUGAAUCUAACUAUCUUAUUGGUUCUGAACUGUUAUGCAGCUGAUGAUAGAUUAAUGUUCCAGUCAUGUCGAGGAUCACUAAAUGGAAGCUUGAGAAAACAAAAGUAAAGGUUGUCUUCCGGCUACAGUUUCAUGCUACACAUGUAAGUGUGCUCUCCUCAGUGUUAACAUCUGUAUGUGGCUGAUAACUAUUGUGUCUAUUGAUGUACUGGUACUGUAUUUUUGGUUUUAUAUAAUUUUCUUAAAGAGCUUCAUCAGAAUCAAGAUUCAUUUUGGUGUGAAAAAAGUUCGUAGAAGAGUUUAACCAGUUAGGUUCCUGCAAGGAUACCCCAUUGGUAAAAGCUUGAAAUCUAUAUCAGUAGGUUUCAAGUUUGAAUACCCAAGUCCCUAAAGAGAGAAUGACCCCUCAUUUUUUUGUACUCAUAAUUUUACUCUAUAGACAAAAUUCACUGGAAAGGUUUAACAAGCUAGGUUCCUGCAAGGAUAUCCCAGUGGUAAAAGCUUGAAAUCUACAUCAUUAGGUUUCCAGUUUGAAUUUCCUAGUCCCUAGGGAGAGAAUUACCCCCCUAUUAGGUUUAACAAGCUGCUCAUACUCGUCAGGCCAUAGGCCAAUAGUCUAUCAGAGACUGAUCAUAACCUAAUAGGCUAGAAUCUAUAAAUUAUUGGCCCAACAACCGGAGGUGAGGUUGGGCCAAAGUCAGUUCCUAGGUAUUAGUAGAAAUUCAUAUAGGUUCACAUAAGCACAUUAAAUCACAAUCCUUUUCCAGUGUGGGAUGGGAGGCUACAUUUAGUUUUGAUAUUUCACAGAAAUGUUGAAGCAUGCAUAUCUUAAUAUGAGCAUGAUAUUUGUAAGCUUAUUAUGACAGCAGUUCCUAAGUGCAUGUUUCAUGCUUGAUUACAGAACUAGUAUUUUGUGUAUGCAUAAAGAGUUUAUGGACUCUACCAUGACUGAAUGACUCGUUUUUCUCUGGCGAUGCAGAUCCCACUAGUGGGAUGGGAUAAACUUUUUAUAUCUUUUAUUCCUGCUGAUUCGGGAAAGGUAACAUCAAAGACAACCAAAGCCAGUGUGAGAAAUGGGACCUGUAAGUGGGCAGAUCCCAUCUAUGAGACUACCAGACUUCUCCAAGAUAUUAAAACCAAACAAUAUGAUGAAAAGCUCUAUAAGCUUGUUAUAGCAAUGGUAAUCUCUUACUUCCUGAUUCUGUGGACUAGUUUUUUCUAUGGUCCCUUGGCACCUUUAUGACAUAUACUUCUUUGAUCUGAACCUGUUUAACAUGCAUCAGGGUUCAUCACGAUCUAGUAUACUUGGUGAGGCUACCAUCAACCUUGCUCAUUAUGCCGAUGCAUUGAAACCUUUUGUCAUUGCCUUGCCUCUUCAUGGAUGUGAUUCUGGCACAAUUUUACAUGUGAGAAAUUCUGAACCUCAUAUGUCUUUAGCAAGUUAGUCUAUUAAUACUGCUAAAUGAGCCAUUUACAAUAAGAUUAAUGGGCAUGUUCAUGGCUUACACUAACUUGUUGCUUGUUUUCUACAUAUGUGCAUAAUUAGAGAGAUUUUUAUCAUAAUACUCCCAUAAGAUGUUGAAUUUUGUUAUCCAUUCACAGGUGACGGUGCAGCUGCUUACAUCUAAAACUGGUUUCAGGUAAAACUUCAUAACAUGUAAACGCCAUAUUUCAUCCAUUUCAGCCUGCACUUAUGGGUGGUAAUUGCUUUCAGAGAGUUUGAGCAGCAGAGAGAACUUAGAGAAAGGGGCCUACAAACUGACCAACAUAGUCCUGAUGAAUCAUCUGGUCGCAAGGUAUCAUCUUCGGUAGAGACCAUCACUGAGCAGAUAGAUAAGGACCAUAAGGUUUGAUCUGUUUUCUUUGUAAUGCCUUCUUUAUCGCGCAUGAUAACUGAUUUCUUCUCAAUUUGCUUUGUUAGACAUGACCAGGAUGGAAGUUUUAGUCUCGAACAUGCAUGCCUUUCUUCCUAUGCAGACGUGCUGUGUAAGAUUUAAAAAAAGAAAAGGGCAAUAAGGUCCCUCUAUGCUGUACUUGCAAGAUGUCAGUGGAUGGUAUCAAAAAAUUAUGUUAGCCAAAAGAUGAAAGUGAAAUUUUGAAUUUGAAGUUUGUGAGAGUGUCUUUUUGCACAUCAUAAUAUGUUGUCAACGUACUUGAUGGGUUCCUUUCCAAGAUCCAAUAGGGUGCCUUGUCACUUUAACUAUAAAUUGAUGGAAUAAUAGGAAGACUGCAUGUAUUUUUGCUAAUUUGAAUUUAUCAAUUGGUGCUCUUUUCUUUCCAACUAAUACAUACUGAUUUUAAAUUUCUCUGUCUCGUGUUUUUCAUUCUAUAUUCUUUUCCUCACUUUAGGCACAUACAAGAGUUAAAUUCAGAGAAAAAUCUAAAGAUCUUUCUUCGCUCGAGGAAGAGGUGGUGCCAACUGACGAAUAUGCAGACUCAGGUGUUGGAUUUGAUGGCUCUUCCAAUACCUCAGAAAGUUUAUAUGCCGAGAAGCAUGAAACAUCUAGCACACAUGAAAUCGAUAGCCUAAGAAGUACUGUAUCUGGUGAUUUAGCUGGAAUUUCCCCCAGUCAAAGUCCGCAGCUGGAGAAAGGGGAUCCUCCUGAUAAUCGGUUUUCAGUGCAGGGAACCAACGAUUGGGUUCAGGGCUGGAGUUCAGACUACUCUGUGGAUAAUGACUUGGCAGCUGCUUAUGAAGAGAACAGUAGGCUCAGAGGCAGCUUGGAAGCAGCUGAAUCCUCUAUUCAUGAACUGAAAAUGGAGGUCAGCUCGUUGCAGAAUCAUGCUGAUGAAAUAGGUCAUGAAGCACAAAAGUUUGCUAAGGAACUUGCUGCUGAGAUUGCUUCUGGAGAAGAUCUGGUAAAUGAAGUGUCUGUGCUGAAAUCAGAGUGCUCAAAGUUGAAAGAUGAUCUUGAACAGUUAAAGAUUUCCAAAUUAUGCCCUUCCUUUAUCGACAGGGAAGCUUUUGGGGCAGAACAGGAUCAAAUAUCUCUUAGAUGGCUAAAGGGGCUUUUGGCCAUGGAAGAUAAGAUAAGAGAGCUUCAAAAUAAGGCAUGCCUUGGCUACAAUGAAAGAGACCUUAGAAUCUUUCAAUCAGACAUAGAGGCAUUGCUUGAUGUCUUGCAGAAUCUCAAGCAAGGAAGCGGACUCACAGUUUCCAGUCCCAACUUGAUUUUGUCUGAAGGAGCUAGCUUGAAGGAGAUUAGAGAAAUGAGUCCAUAUAAAAAUGGCCAGUUUGCAACAGGGACUGGGUUUGAUGUGGACUUAUAUCAACCAGAAGGCAUGCUUCAUUGUCUUAACAUACCUAACCUGAUUUCCCAUGAAUCUGACACUGUAGAUACUACCAAUGCAAUGAAGAACAAAAUUUUUGAACUUCUGAGAGAGUUGGAUGAUUCAAAAGCAGAACGGGAGAGCCUUGCAAAGAAAAUGGACCAGAUGGAGUGUUACUAUGAAGCCCUUGUCCAGGAACUUGAGGAAAAUCAGAGGCAGCUACUUCAAGAGCUGCAAAAUCUCAGAAAUGAGCACUCAACUUGCCUAUAUGCAAUUUCAUCAACUAAGGCUGAUAUGGAGUCCAUGCAUCAAGGCCUUAACGAGCAGAUAUUAAGACUUGCCGGAGACAAACAUGAUAUGGAAUCCUUCAACAAAGAGCUUGAAAGAAGAGCUUUAACUGCAGAAGCAGCACUGAAGAGGGCACGGUUGAAUUAUUCUAUCGCUGUGGAUCAGUUACAGAAGGACCUGGAACUGCUUUCUUUCCAGGUUUUGUCUAUGUAUGAGAGUAACGAGAACCUCAUCAGGCAAGCCUUUGUAGAUUCUUCACCACCAAACAGUCGAGGAUGUGAUUCAGGGGAAUAUGCAGUGAAACUCUUGCAGUUCGAAAAUCAAUCCGCUGGGAUAAGGAAACAGCAGUUGGGUGGAGAUAUUCAUUUAGAUGAAUUGAAGAGAUCGCUACACCUACAGGAAGGGCUCUACCGGAAGGUUGAAGAAGAAGUUUGUGAAAUGCAUUUUGUGAAUAUCUACUUGGAUGUGCUUUCAAAGGCUCUCCAGGAAACCUUGGUUGGUGCUUGUGAAGAUGUACAACAUCUGAAAGAGAAAGUAAAUGAACUUACACAACAGCUAGAGCUUUUGGGUAACUCGAAGCAGUUACUGAUACAAAAGCUGCAGAUUGCAAUGGAUGAGGUUCACUCUCUCAAUGAGUACAAGGCUGCUUGCAUUGCUAAAUGCAAUGAUAUGGCUCUAGAAAACCAAACUUUGGGAGCAGAUUUACAAAAUAUGAGCCAUGAAAAUCAUCUUCUUAUGCAGAAAAUUGCUGAAUGGAAAUCUAUGGUGAUUGAAUACAGAGGUUAUGAGGAAAAGUUAGAGGCAUAUGCUGCAGAGAAUGGAGAGUUGACAUGCUUACUGGAGAAGAAAACCCUAGAAAUUGGGAUUCUUCAGAAUGAAAACAUCUCUUUGCAGGAUGAGUUGAAAACUAUCAAAAUUGAGUUUGCUGAGCUGGCUUCUGGAAAUGAAAAUUUGCAGAAUUUUGUUAAUUCUCUUCAAAAUAAAUUACAGAACUUACUGCUGUCCUAUGACAAAAGUAUCAUUGAAAUUCAUCUCGUUAGUGAAUCUAGCAGUCAGGAUUUGCAGAACAAGGACUUACCAGGUCUACUGAUGCAAUUAGAAGAGCUUCAGCAUAAUGCAUGUAAUAAGAUUCUCCAGCUUGUAGAAGAGAAGAAAUAUUUAAUGCAUGAAAAAGAUGUUGCACAACUGUCCAUUACUGCAGCUGAAUCAGAUACUGCUUCAAUGAAAUGGAAGUUUGAACAUGAAAUAAGGAACAUGGUGGAGAAAUUAGAUAAAUCAAAUGUUUUACUGCAGAAGCUUCAGUUAGAUGUUGAGGCUUUUGCUAACAGACUCGGUGUUAGCUCUGAACUGGAAGAAAAGUAUGCACAGCAGCAGAAUGAGCUUUUCUCUGGUAUUGAUCAAUUAGAAGUUGAGCUACAAGAACUUACUUCCAAGAAUAGGGACCUUGCUAACGAAAUCAUUGCAUUAGAGACUGGGACAGCAGCAGAACUUACAAAGGAAAAUCAAGCUUUAACAGUAUAUCUACAGGAUAAAAAUGAGGAAUCAAGCAAGCUUUCAUCAGAACUGAAGAGCUUGAAAGAAAGUCUGCAAUCUCUCUAUGAUGAGAACAUGGCUCUGAUAGCAUCUUCACAUGAUAAAAUGGAGAAGUCUGCUCAGCUUGCUUCAGAGGUAGAUGGCUUAAAGAGUAGCUUGCAAUCUCUGCGUGAUGAAAACCAAGCUUUGAUGGUAGCUUCACAGGAUAAAGCUGCAGAAGCUGCUAAGCUCGAAUUGGAGCUAAACAGCUUGAAAGGAAAUUUGCAAUCUGUGAAUGAUGAAAACCAAGCUUUGAUGGUGAUCUCAAGGGAUAAAACUGAGGAAUGUGCGAAACUUGCAUCUGAGCUUAACAAUUUGAAAGAAAGCUUGCAGUCUCUGCAUGAUGAUAAAAAAGCUUUGGUUUUGUUAUCACAGGAUAAAAUGGAGGAAUCUGCCAAACUUACAUCAGAGCUGAACCUGUUAAAAGAAACUUUGCAAUCGUUGCUUGAUGAAAAACAAACUUUAAUGGCAUCUUCCCUGGAUAAAACUGAGGAAUCUGCCAAUCUUGGUUUGGAGCUAAACUGUUUGAAGGGAGGCUUGCAAACUCUGCAUGAUGAAAAUCAUGUUUUGAUGGCAGCUUUACAAGAUAAAACUGAGGAAGCUACCAAGCUUGCAUCAGAACUAAAAAAAUUGAAAGAGAGUUUGCAAUCUCUGUAUGAGGAGAAUCAAGUUCUGGUAACAUGUUCACGGGAAAAAUCUGAGGAAUCUGCCAAACUUACGGCAGAGUUAAACAGUUUGAGAGAUCAUCUGCAAUCCCUAUGCAAUGAAAACCAAGCUUUGGCGGUGUCUUCAAGGGAUAAAAAGGAUGAGUCUGCCCAAUUUGCAGGAGAGCUGAACUGUCUGAGAGAAAGUUUGCAAUCUCUGCAUAAUCAGUUGCAUGGUGAGAGAAGCUUGAGAGAGGGUUUAGAAAGUAAAGUUACUGAUCAAAUUUCCAAAUUAAAUGAGAAGGAGUAUCAAGUACUCCGUCUCAACAAAUCAGUGUCAGACCUAGAAUCAGAGAAUUUAAGAGUUUGCAGUCUUUUGUCUCACUAUGAGGAUAGCCUUAAAAUUGCCCGUGAAGAAUGUUCUUCCAUUCCUGAUCUCAAAAUCGAGCUAUGCAAAAUGGAUGAACUUUUAAUAGCCACAGAUGUCAGUCUAAUUUUCACAAAAACUCAGUAUGAAAACAAGGCUGCUGAGCUGGUUUUGCAGCUUCGCGCCUCAGAUACGUAUCUUGAUGAACUUCAGAAAAAGCAUAUUGAAGUAGAAACAACGCUAAAUCGUUGUCUUGCUAAUGAAGCUGAGUAUACUGAAGAGAAUGCAAAGUUGUUGGCAAGUCUGAACUCCAUGAGAUCCGAGUUAGAGGCGUCUAUUGCUGAAAAUAGAUUACUUGUUGAGGCAAACAGAGUUACUACAGCUGAGCUUGAGGAAUACAAGGAUUGGGCUCGAGAUGUUAGGCUUAAUUGUGAGGAUCAAAGGCAGCAUUCUCUAGUGGUUGAAAGGCUGAAGCACUUGCUGGUGAGUUCUGAAGAGGAGAUUGAUAAUUUGGUGCUCUCCAAGGAAGAGCUGGAAGUCAAAGUUCUAGUACUCAAAGCCAAAUUGGAUGAAGAGCAAGCUCAGAUAACUACGAUGGAAAGAUAUCUUGAUGAAUUAAUGAUUCUGAAGAAACAGUACAAUGAGCUUUCUCAGAGGCUUGCCGAUCAGAUUCUGAAGACUGAAGAGUUCAGAAAUUUGUCUAUCCAUUUGAAGGAGCUUAAAGACAAGGCUGAGGCUGAGUGUGUCCAUGCUCGUGAAAAAAAAGACACUGAAGCACCAGUUGCCAUGCAAGAGUCCUUGAGAAUUGCAUUUAUAAAAGAGCAGUAUGAAACAAGGCUGCAAGAACUGAAACAGCAACUAUCCAUCUCCAAAAAGCAUAGUGAAGAAAUGUUAUGGAAAUUGCAAGAUGCCAUUGAUGAGAAUGAUAAUAUGAAGAAAUCUGAAGCUUGUCAUCUGAAGAAAAAUGAAGAAUUGGGAGUGAAGAUCUUGGAGUUGGAGGCUGAGCUACAAGCAGUACUCUCCGACAAGCGUGAAAGAAUGAAUGCUUAUGACUUGAUGAAGGCUGAAAUGGAAUGCUCAUUAAUAAGCCUAGAGUGUUGCAAGGAAGAAAAACAGAAACUUGAAGCUUCUUUACAAGAAUGUAAUGAGGAAAAGUCUAAACUUGCAGUUGAAAUUGCUCAGAUGAAAGAAUUGCUGGAGAACUCCAAAUCAGCCAGGAACAUCAAGGAGAAAGGAAAUUGUGAAUCUUGCAGAGUGGAUAGCAUGUCUUUCAGUGAGCUGGUUUUAGGAAAUAUGAACCAGAAAAUUCCUAUCUCUGAUGCUUCAUGCUUGGAGGAAGAUAGUUUAAGUACUUGUGUAGAAGCCAGCCAUACCUGCCCAGCUCCCAGAAAUGAAGCUGACCAAACAGGCACGCUCAUCACUGUGCAACUUGAGCAGGUAAUUACAAUUUUCACAUUUUAAGUUCUAAAUUGACUAGUUAUUUCAUUAAUUUUGCAAAUUGAUGGUAGAUGUAACAAAUUUGCAGUAACUUAAAGUUCAUUUCUGUCGCAGCAGGAGCAUACUAUUACUUAUUAUAAAUGUAUCCCACUUCUGAUUUCUUAAAUAAUGUGGUCCUUCAGUUAUUAUAUCAUUUUGCAUCCAUGAUGAAAAUUUGUAUUUUCUUAUGUUUAUGCUUUAACAUGCAGCAUGAUCACAUGGUUUACUAGCUAAAAACAAGCCUUUACUGCCCUUGAAAGUCUGUAUUUUCUCUCAUCUUGUACAUCGUUCAUGAUGAUAAAAUGCAAAAAUGUAAUUAAUAAAUAAAGCCUAUAAUGAUGAAAUUUUUUAUGAAUGUAUUGUAGAUUUAAAUUAUCUUUUUCUGGGUACUCUUGUAAUCUCUCAUAUUGUACUUCUUUGCUUUUAGCCGCCGCUUGCCUGUCAGUUAUUUUAACGUCUGUAUUUAAACAUCACUGAUUAGUCCAUCAUUUUUAAUUAUUAAAGCUUUUCUGACAUUUGUGAUAAGAACCAAAAGAUAUUGAAAUUUCUUCCCCCAUGUACCGUCAUAUUGAACACAUUGAAGGGAUUUGUUUCUAAGUAUUUAUUUGCAUUACAUGGUCAGGAUGCUCUUUUAUCUAGUGGAGUGAAUGGAGUUCAGAGUUCCAUGCUCCUAAAUGACGAAAGGUUUCUGCACAGUGAUAUGAAGCAAUUAGCUCUUAUCAACGAUCACUUUAGAGCUGAAAAUUUGAAGUCUAGCAUGGACCACUUGAAUAAUGAGGUAGGGAUAUUGAGACUCUGAGGCAAGUGAGAAGAUGCAUAUAGAUCACUCUCAUCUGUUUGAUAUAGUUUGGCAUAAUAAGGAAAUGUCCGUUACAUCCAAUAGCCCCAGAUAUAAGGAUAAUGUUUAAUGAAAAACUAAUACUUGUUUAUAUGUCCAAUGUAGUUGGAGAGGAUGAAAAAUGAGAAUUCUCUGCUGCAAAAUGAUCAUUAUUUUGACAAAAAAUUUCCUGCUUUACAAAGUGAAUUUAUGCAGUUACAGAAGGUAAAUUAAUUCUCCUUCAUGCCUUGUUACACAUAUUAGCACCCUUCUCAAAUACACUUACUUUUCUGCUUUUUACAGGCCAAUGAAGAACUAGGAAGCAUGUUCCCCUUGUUUAAUGAAUUCUCAGGAAGUGGCAAUGCACUAGAAAGGGUGCUUGCAUUAGAAAUCGAGCUUGCGGAGGCACUUCAGGCAAAAAAGAUAUCAAGCAUCCAUUUUCAGAGGUAUUCCAUCAAGUACCGCUAUAAAAUGCCUGCCAAACAUGAAUCUUUUUGGCAACAAUGGAGCAUACGAAAUUCUCUCUCUCUACUCUCUCCCUCAUGAUUUCAUUAGGCAAUUUCUUUUUCCUUCAAAGAGAAUAUGUCUUGCUUUAAUAGACUGGGGGCAAAAGGAAAGAAGCUCAACCAUGUCUAUGGAAUUUAGUUUGGCAUGACUUGCAAAUGCUGGUGAGGAUUGUAGACCAGUAUCUUGGACUUUGGCUUCUAGAGUUCUGAGCGGUACUCCCCUUAGCUAGGCCAUACUCCAUAAGAUGCUUAUUCCAUACCCAGAGACUCUUUCUCCACCUGCUUCAACUUUCCUAUUUCAUUUCUGCAUCUCUUUCCAAUUAAGACAUAUUUCAUUUCUCCAUGUCUUCUUUCUCCUACUUCUCCUAGGUGUAUGGCCACAAAUCCAUACAUUAACACAUAUCUUAUAUCCCUUAAACUGAAAGUAUGCAAUCCUCUAUUUGGAAUUCUCUAGUCAAGAAUUAGUAGGAACUUUAUGGUCUUGAUAUCACUUUUAGCCCGGAUGUAUCCCUCGUUUAGUCCAUUGCCAAUCUCAUAUGAAGAAGCAGUAUAAUCACUGAUUUUAUAUUCUAUGCUUGUUAUCUGCCUUGUCAUCUCUUUAUUUUCUUCUUUUCACAUGACUAUGCCCCUUGUCUGUGGGAUUUGUUAAAGUUCUUACUAAUGCAGUUAACCCGGAUCUUGCUUUAUAUAUAUAUAUAUAUAUAUAUAUAUAUAUAUAUAUAUAUAUAUAUCAUGUUUCUGCCUUUCGAUGUGCUGCAAACUUGCUCUCAUAUCACUAAUAAGCUAAUAGAUAUGUGGUCAGUUGUUAUUUAUGUCCACCCUUAAACUAUUUUAUAAGUUACCUUGACUGCUUGCAUUGGCUAGACGUAAAUUUGUUCUAGAAUUCAUUUGUUUAAAUACCUUCACACAUAUUGUAGGUAGGAUCCUUUCAAACAUGUGAAACCUUUGAUGCAUAAUUGUCCCAAAAUUUUGGACAUGGUCCUGUACAUUUAGAAUUUUAACUGAAAAACAGACAACUAUUAAAAUAUAACAUUCUUCUUAUUCUCCAGUUCUUUCUUAAAACAACACAGUGAUGAGGCAGCUGUAUUCAAGAGUUUCAGAGACAUCAAUGAACUUAUCAAAGACAUGCUAGAACUUAAGGGAAGGUAUGUAGCUGUGGAGACCGAACUGAAAGAGAUGCAUGAGCGCUACUCCGAGCUAAGCCUUCACUUUGCAGAGGUUGAAGGCGAAAGACAGAAACUCAUGAUGACUCUCAAGAAUGUUCGGGCAUCCAAGAAGGCCCUACACUUAAAUCGGUCUUCAUCAGCCUCGCUUGGGGACCAUUCCUAGUAGCCACUACGACAGGCUUCAAUCAGCGUUUGGAUUUUUCAAAUUUUCAGAAAUCCCUUUACUGGGUAAGGAGUUAACAUCUUUCCUUGCCACAUGAAUUAAUUAUGUAGAACGGAAGCAGCAAUUAUGGAGUUCGUAGGUAUUACAACUGCAAUUUUCAAAUGUAACAAGCCUCUCAAGGAUGGCACGAGCUUAGAAGCAGCUGUAUUUUUGUGUAAAUAAAACAGUAUUUGCUGGGUGUUGUUCCCAGUUGUUAGUAUCAUAAGGUAUAGAUCCCUGUAACACUGUGGCCUUUCUGGUCCAUGUUGUAAGUCAUUAUACUGUAUAGUAAAGCAAAAUCAUGAAGAAAACAAUUUUGUUUAAUUACAGAAACAAGUGAGAAAAGUGUAUUGCCUUCGCCCCUUGCCAAAAUUUCAUGUGGAAUCUCAUUGUGGUAUUUUUCCGGUCGGCUAAUGCGUGCAAGUGUUAACACCUGCAAUGGGAUUAUGGUGUACUUUUGCUCUUAAUGAGAUUCAUGAGGAGAGGUUGCAUUCACAAAUGAAUAGGCAAAGAAGAUAGUUUUGUUAAUUUCAAGACCUUUCCUCCAGCCUUCAGCUCGCCUAACCAAGGAAAAUAAUAUGUUCCUUGAUUAAUUUCAAACCUAAACCAACAGUAUUUCAGUAACAGCAAGAGCGAUAGGAAGACAAAUUACAAACUUUACUGAUCAUAUGAAACAAUUAUUUGUUGCACUGUUCUGUAAGCAGUCUGAUUACAACAAAAAUCAAACCAAAUCAAUAACUUCUUCUAUAUGUUGUUUUCUUUUUCUCUACUUUUUAUUCCUUUUUCCACUUCAUGCUGAUAGAAGAAACCCUCUUGAUCAACUAACUUCUAGCUCACUGAUCUUAAUUCCUUUUUGCAUUCACAAUUAAUGAAGGAACUACAGAGUAAUUUACUAAAGGAAACCAGUGGAAGAAACAUAGUUUUAGAGCAUCUUCUGAGGCCACUCAGAACUAGGAAUUCCUGAAACAUAUAGUCAAGGCUUUUCUUAGGCCACUUGACACAGUUUGGAAACAGUUUUGAUUUCUGAACUGCAUCUCAACUACCAUCUAAUCAAAUACUUCGAGAAGAAACAACACCAGCUUGAGAAACCUCAGUGAUUUUAGUCACUCAUAACUACAAGAUUGAGCAUGAGCACCCUGUCUUCUUUGAAGAAUCCUUCCGGAGCUUGUCUGUUAUUUUUUUAAAAAAAAGAAGUAUCAGUUGUUUGAUCCAUUAAAAUAGCGUUUAAAACUGGAUCAAUAGUCUAGUAAUCAGAUACAUGUCUCAUGGUGAAAACAUAUUAGACUUUAAAUCCUUAAUUCUCCAUUUCAAUCCCUUGAAGGAACACACACCAUACACACAAAAGCAAAAUAAAUAAAUAAAAAGAAGACAAUAGGAUAAAUUGGCAGUGCUAUGAAUUUGACCAAGUACAGCAAGAACCAGUUUUCAAGACAAGCAAUAUAGCAUAUGGAUAUGAGGAGGAAGGGAGACAAUAAACUAAGAUAAUGUCCAAGACCCGAGAAACAUAAGGAAAGCCUAUUUUAUCUGGCAUAUACAAGGUCAAUUAGCCUUAUUAUUUUCCAGAAUCAUCAUAAGCUAACGACAGAGAUACCGUGGGCAAAAACUUGAAUCUCUAUCAUUCCUGGAAUAUUUACUCCAAUUAAAGGCAAACCAUAGAAACUUUUGCACAUGUAGACUUAAAUAUUAGGAAUAUGAUGGUUGCACUAGUCAAGAAUGAUGAAAAGUAAUAAUAAAUGUUACCCCAUAUAAACUGCAGGAGACAAGUGGAUCACAUGAGUACAUUAAAUGUUACAAACAUGUACAUCUCAGUAUUACAAUAUGGAUAUGUGAAUUACCACUGAUUUUCUCUGGCAUGGGAGGUCGCAGAACAACAUGCAUGGUGAUGACACCUCCUGGAAGUUCACCAACUGGAAGUCUGGACUCAGCAAGUGUCCUGUUGUUUUCCAGUAUCUUUCCACCAUUUAUGAGUUUCAAAUCAUUGACAGUCUUUGGACCAUUUUCUUUAUCUGCCAAAUAAGCACCGCACUCUUUAGAAAAUGCAAUCCAAUCAGAUAACAAACCACAACUUUAUAGUAACUAAAGUACGCAUUUCAAGAUUAGGGGCACUUUAGAUUUUUCUUUCUUCUUUUCUUUUUCAUUUUCGGUGCUGGAGUGUGUUGAUGCAUGAUAUUGCUAAUUUACCAUAUAAACAAAUUUUCAGAUGCACAAGCACAAAAAUAAAAUGCAGAAUGAAAGCUCAAGCAUAUUAGAAGAAAACAAUGCAGUCUAUCCAUUAACAUGGAGGUAGCCAUGAAACUCAAAUAAGUUCAGCAUUGUACCAUUCUCAUUCUAAAUCCCUAUAUAUUCCAAAACAGUAGAGUGGGAUCUUCUUGUCAGUUACAAAGAGCAUAAACAAGGCAACUGAGUAACCAUAACGGCAAUAAUGUUUAUCUAGACAAUCAAUCCUUCUUUUUGCACCAAAGCAAACUGUUUAAGAAAACAAUACUUACUGCAUCUUCAGAGUUCAAGCCAUUUUAACAUGUAAUUUACCUAAAUCUAGACCCUUUUGCAGGAUUUUCAUCCACAAAAGGGCUUCAAGAAUUGGGCACAACUAUUUUCUUAGAGAUCAGAAAAGUCAAAUAAGAGAAACACCAUCAAACUUGUGAAAUAACUUGAAUUGGAAUUGAAAAAGACAAUAAAAAUUUGACAUGUGGACAAGGUAGACAAGGCAUAUAAAAUCAAUAUCUCCAAGCCAGAAUUAAGAAAAACUUAGAACCAAAGCUUCCUACCUAACACCCCAACUAAUACUCAAUCAUAAAUUAAAAACUGAAUAUUCAAAUCUUGAAGGAAUGAAUCAAAAACCAAUAUGAAACAGUAAUCCCAAAGAUUGAGCAGAAAUAAUAAUUGAAGAUGCAUAAAAUUGGUCUUAAAAAAAAAAAAAAAAACCUUUUGGCCACUGUGCAAUUAUCUUCUCUUUGAGAGUUACCACUGUAGUUGCUGGAGUAUAUUUGUUAGGCCCAAUAUCAGUACCAUCUGCCAGCCUGAAUUUCAGUUCAAUUAAAUCUUCUCCUGCCAUUGACAAAUCAGUUCACCAAAAAUCCCACCUCAAAUUUUCAUACUAAUCUCCAAGAAACAGCUAUUUGUCCCCAAAAGGUCCAAGAACCCUCUCAACAAAUCCUCUUUUGGCAAAAAUUUCAGCAGAGAAUACUGAAAACUAGCAUUCAUCAGUUGCAAACACAAACAGCAUCAAGGAACAAAAGACCAAUCUUUCCCACGAAAUCCACAAAAGAAACAAUCAACUAAGUAUGAUUGAAAAUAGUUUCUUCUUGAAUCCCCAGAUCCUAUUAUCUAAUCUCGAUGCAACAAGCAAGAGGGUGUGGGAGUAAAUUUGAUGAGAAAAAAAUAUGAGAGUAAACCCAGGAAAGAAGAGAGGCAGGUAUUGAAUUUGCUUGAUGUAUAAAGAAAGAAAGAGACAAGAAAAAAGAAAAAGAAAAAGAGAGAGAGAGAGAAAAAGUAGCCAAAUGUAGAAGGUUUCAAAGUGAUAGUUUUACCUGAAUCUAACAGAAAUAUCCAAUGAUAUUUGAAAAUGACACUUUUCUUUUAACUUCACAUAUUUCGGUGCCCCCCAAUUUAUUCACCUGCGUGCAUUACUUUAUCCUAUCUCGUAAUUUUCUUUAACAAUAUUUUUGAAAGAGAAGUAGGGUGGAGGAAAGAAAAGAAAGGAAUAUAAAAUGGGUGAAUAAAUACCUAUUUUCCUUUUAUGUUUAGAAAGAAAGGUAAGCAAAGAAAAAUAAUUAUUUUUUAAAAUUUAAUUAAUAUUAUGCUCUUCACUUAUAUAGAUAAUAAAAAGAUAAAAAUAUAAUAUAUGUAUAUUUUUUAAUUUUCCAUGCUCAACUUUGUUUUUUAAUUUUUUACACCUUUUUAAGAAAAGACUAAGACUUUUUUUUUUAUAAAACUUAGUUUAAUCUUUUAUUUAUUUACGAAAGUAUAAUGGUGGAUACAAAUUUUUUUAUAUUAUCAUAAAAAUAACAAAAGCGAGAAUAAAAUCAAUUCUAAAUUUUUAUCUAUUAGAAAAAAAAAACUUUUAUCAUUUGAAUUAGAGUUUAAAUAUUAUUAAUUUAAAAAUUCUCUUAUUUUCUAAAAAGAAAAUUUAAUCUUGAUUUGAUUUGGUAGCAAUUUUUUUUUAUAAAGUGAUUUAUUAGCAAUUCUUAAUAUUUAUGUUUCUCAAUUAUUGGAACCAUCUGCCUUUUCCUUUAACUAAUUAAUUAGUAUUUAAUAUGUAAUUAAAUAAAAGAAAAUGUAUCGUUUGUUAAAAUAUGUAACCAUGGAGAACGAUGGUUUUAGGGUAUGAGUUGAUUCCACGCAACUAUAAUGAUUCUUCAUGCUUUAUAAAUUAUUAAACAUGCAAUUUAAUGGAAAGCAUGAUUUUCUUAUAUCAAUUAGGAAACUAUAUUACUUAAUAACUUUUGUAAGGUGGCAGGCAGGUUUGAACCUUUUCUUUUUCUUUCUUUUUAAGAAGGCAGGCAGGUAUGAACUUAAUAUAAUCUUUUUUAUUUAACAACUAAAUGUGGUUAUAUAAUGUUUAAUUAUAGUUACCUUACUAUGGUUAUUUUCUGAUGAAAAUAAAUGUCAAAUUAGCCCUCUAAAAAAAUUAUAAUUUAAUAGAGAUUUAAAUAAUAAAUUUUUUAUUUAAAAUUAUGUAAAGUUUAUUUUUAUAUAGAAUAUUACUGUCGAAUAUAUAUAAUUCCGCUUAUGGAUAGCCAUUUAAAUUUUUGCUACUCUUGCAACUCUUGUAUGAGAAUUUUCUACCCUUUAAGUAUCUCAUUCAUAGGAAGUCAUUUAUUAUUAUUAUUAUUAUUAUUAUUAUUUUAAAAGAGAUAUUUGGGAAAUUCUUAAAGGAAAAUGAGGAUAUCAACUGUUAUUGCAUUAGGAGGCAAAUCAAACAGUGAUCACAAGUUGUGGCGGACCAGAGAAAAGAAGUUAGAAGGAUAAAAACAAAGGAAGAAGAAACGGAGAGGCGAAAUACAAAGAAGAGUAGAAGUCAAAAAAAGAAAAGAAAACAUUGAGAAAAAGAUUGAAGUAUGGUAUGAUUGAGACUUCCAACAUCAUAAUUACUCUUCACCAUAAUAAUGUAUCUGAUUUACUUGAUAGCAAGGACCACAGCCGAUGAAGAGAAAUAGAUACUGAUUUUAUUUUUUUUACUGAUUCUCAGUAACUCUGAAGACAAACUGGUAACAUAUAAUUGACAUUGAUGAUGACAACACAGAAUAAUGAAAUCUGAAGGGCCUGUACAAUGGUUCGCCCUGACUUAUGUGUCACUCGCUAGAUUAAGCUGAUCAGCAAACAGAAUGUCUGCACCAGCAGAAUCUGAAUUAGAACCAAACAUACAGAACAAAUAGACAAAAUAAGAAAACAAGAAGAACCCUUAAGAUGUAAUUAGCAUAUAGUGCCGGCAUUUACUAUGAUCCAGACACACACGUACACAAAGACCAUUUUCUCCAGCCAUCGAACAACCUCACCCUCUGCUAGUGCUUGAAAGAACCUGUCUUACCCUUCGCAUGUUUAGCUCAGUGGUAAGGAUGCAGCUCGUUAACAUGCAACUGAUGUUGAAUGUCACAGCUUGAAAGUGGCUGAAAAUUCACAUCCUUAUAUAAUUACUGAAGAAGUUCCAAUAAAUGGAAGCUCACAAUCCAAAAUGGCUGUUUUCAGGUUUCAACAUCAAUUCGCCACUGUCACCCGGGCACAACCCCACCAUUAUUUCUUUCUCUUGUUCUUCUUAACAUUACACAUGGCUUGCAACCUUAUCAACAGUUUACCUGCAACCAAUGACAGGCAAAUUAGAAGUUCCCCUUUAAACAUCUAGCAAAGCACCACAAAUAAAGGAAGCUCAAAAUCAUCCAAAUAGGAACUUUCAGUACAACAAUCAUGUAUUUACAUGACAUUCAGAUGACAGUUCAUAACCAAACUAGACCUCAGUUCCAAAACUAGUUGAGCCAGCUUUAUGAUUCUUUUUCUCCUUUCUGUUGGUUCCAAAAUCCAUUUUAAGAUGUCUUACUGUUUUUCUACCCAUCUAUCAUAGAUGGAGUACAAACAAGUUGCCAGCAUCCAUUACCAUAAAGAAUCUUUUUCCACAAUGAUAAUUAUGAAUUCUGAUGGAGACGUUACCAAUUCAAAUAUGGCAAAUUUAGUUGUGUUGCAUGAUAUUUUACCUCUCAGCCUAAAACCGCCUUAAUGAUUGUAUUGUAGUUCAGUCCCCCUCUGUCCAAUGCUUUGAUUCUAUAAGUAUAUUCCUCUUCAUAUUUCCUACUUUUAUAUGGUGGAAUAUGAAUUGGAAACAAAAUAUAAACCAUUAAAAUGAUGGCUUUCUUACUGUUGCAAUCUCCAUCAGAGCCCACCAUUAAGGAAAAAGAGAGCUCGUUGGUAUAAAGAGAAUCAGAAUAAUCUUAAUACAAUCAUGCUUGAAGAGCAUAACUAAGAUAUGUGGAAAAUAAUCAAGGAUCAGAAUCUAAGAAGUGCCCAAGUACCAUGGGGUUAGUCCAAUUCGUUCCUUUUCCAAAAUCAAAUCUUCUUAAUUGCACCAUGAAUGAUAAUUAAAUCUCAAGAAGAAUAUGAAUUAAUGAGGUUGAAAAAAGAACAGAAAACAAUUGGUGAGACCUACAACCGUAUGUUAUUGCCCUUGCAGAAUUUAUAAACUAACAAGCACGAGAUUCAUGAUGAACAAGAUGAACACUACAAUGCAACCUUGGUCUAUCAGUCCCAACCAGAUUUAAAUGCUUACCUGAUGCUUCGUUCCCACACUGUUCCUGAACCUAUACCUUGUUCUUCAUCUUCAACACAAAAAGGAUUCAUGUAAAAUUAUGAUCAGUUGAAGCACACAAGAUUUACCACUAGAUUACUUAUAGAACCAUCUCGUUGCUGUCCAUUUCUGAAAGUUAUGAUUGCCCGUCUGCAUAUUGUGCUGAUAUUAUGCAGUGGUCUGCAUGUUUGCAUUAACUUGAUCAUUCCAAGAAAGACGCAAACUAAUACCAUCUUCCGCUCUAGCGAAUCCUAAUUAACCAGGAAACCUCCCUGCAAAAGAGAAUCUAUGUAACAAGUGAGGGAUCUUUUCAGUCUAGGUAAAAGGGCUGACUUUGAAAUAAUUGGACAAACUCUUUGAGUAUACUACUUAGAGACUAUCAAAAAUAUGAAGAAUAUGCAAAGCUCAUGCUCAGAAAGCAAGUAUUGUCGCUAACAAAAUGUUUAGACGGCAAAUGAAGCUUAUGCUUUCAUUAAUGCGAAAAACUAACUGAUCUUGUAGAAGCGGAGCCGGAGCAUGUCCAAAGGACUCUUUAUAUAAGUUACUCUUUAUUAUAAAAAGCUAUUCAAUAAAAUAACACUCCAAUACACCUUUUAUUCUUAAAAUAUAAAAUAAAUAGUAGAUUUAGCUCUAUACAUUUAAAGAGAUAAAUUCACUCUUUAUCUUUAUUCGAAUUAAUACAUUAUAAGUUUUUAUAUAUUUUAUUAAUUGAUAUCAAUUAUCUUUUAAUUUUUUUUAUUAAAAAUAAUUUAUUUUCUAUUUUAAAAAAAAUAAUAUUUAAAAUAUUAAUACUUGAUGAAUAAAAUAAAAUAAAAAUAAAAAGAGUAUUAAAUUGAAAAAAUUAUAUUCUUUAUAAGUAAAGAUACUCUUUAUUAAAUAAAAAAUACUUUUUAAAAUAAAAAGCAUCACUAGGAAUACUCUCAGUUUUAGUAACUAAAUUGCCACAUCAGCAAGAGGAAACAAGUAAGCAAUUUGUUGCAACAUAAAUAAAAAUACUAACAAUGUGUUUGAUGAAAGUUCAUUAAAGAAUUUAUUUCAUUUAAAAAAAAAAUAGAUAUAAAAAAAGAAAUAAAAUGUCUUUUAAGAAAAAAAAAAGUAAAAUAAAAAUUAUAAAAUUGAAAAUAAUAUUUUAGUAUUUUAAUAUAUAUUACCUUACUGAUAUAGAUUCAUUUAGAAAUUCUGUCUAUUUUACUAAAUUUUAAAUUUAUAAAUAAUUUCUAUGAAUUUUAAUUAAAACACAUUAUAAAUAAAUUAAAAAUAUAAAUAAACUCGUAUUAGCCUCGUCGAGCUGGAGCAUACAACCCAGCUUGGAAUUAGAUAGAUGAAACGUAUGAGCUGCAAGGGACCUCGUCAAACAAUCAGCAAGCUGAUUGGCACAAGACACGGGGAGAAGAUGAACCAAACCAGCAAUAAUCUUGGAGGCGAGCUAUAACCACAAUCAAUUUCUAUAUGCUUUAUACAUUCAUCAAAAGCUGGAUUCUGGGCUGAGUAUGUAGCAGAUUGAUUGUCGCAAUAAAGUAAUGCCAGUUCGUGAUGAGGAAUUUGAAACAAGUAUUUGCGCCAUUGAAUUUCACAAGUGACUUCAGAAGAGGAACGAGAUAUGGUUUUCUUCUUUUCGGACUUCCAAGAGAAGUGAAUUACCAAGGAAAACACAAUAGCCUGUGAUUCAUUUCCUGGUGUCAGGGCAUGAAGCCCAAUCUGAAUCACUAAAUUCCUUUAAAUGUAGAGAGGAGGAAACAGAUAAAAAAAAAAAUUAAAAAAAAUCUCCUUGAUCAGGAGCAUGUUUCAGAUAUCUAAGAAGACGAUGGGCUACCAUUAAGUGAUUAGUGGUUAGAUGAUCUGAAAAAACUGAGAUAAUUACUGAACAGAAUAGGGAAGUAUCGGGAUUUCAGGACAACUGAUAACAAAUUCUGUAAUUACAGAGAGAUUACUAGUGGCUUUUCAACAGGAUGACUUUCCCUGAAAAGCCAAUUAUAGAAUUGAGGGAUUUUCGAUUAUGAUCUUUGGUUUACAUGUUGAUUCUUUUCUUUAUUCAAUUAUCCAUUCGUCUCGUCUGCAUUAGUGAUUUUUCCAUGCCCUGUUAAGAAGUGAAAAAAUGAGGUAAAUUUUUCCCAUAUUGGGCAAGUGAUAUCCACGUUAAGCAGUUAGAUAUUCUAAAUAUUAAAUCCAUUGCUGCAGAGCCUCGAACAAUUCUGUAAACUAAGCAAUUUUCACAUAACACAACUAUAACUCAACAAGUUGAUGAAAAUUUACUGUCUGCAGCUCUUACCAAACAAAAUCAAAUGAUAAAGUUGAAGUUAUUUUGAAGCAUGUUUCAUGCACAAAAUGCGAAAAACAUGUUCAUAUGUAACAUGACUAAAACAUCUGGUACACUGUUUGUGCACUAAUUAUUGAAUAAAACAAAAAGAAAAUAUAUUUAUUCUGAAAAGCUUGUCUCUUUCACAGAUAGUGAAAAUAUGCAUCCACCCUGGCCAAAUUUAAAAGUAAACGCAUACUACCAUGUGCAACACAAGUAUAUAUCCAGGAUACCGUUCAUACAAUUCUUACCAGAGACAGCAAAAAAAAGGAACAAAAUCAGCCUUUUCUCAAAGCAUGUUUUACACAUGGACAGCCAGAAUAUGCACUUGCCAUAAGAGUAAAAUCAGAAUAGCGCCCUAUUCGCAUUAACACAUGUGGCCAAAUAUCUAGUACCCUAUGAUAAAUAUGGAAAAUAGAGAGUUUUAAAAAUCUCAUUUAGAUUGCAUGAUAAAUAAAUGAUGCCUAGUUUUAUCAAGCAAUUAGAAACUGCUUGCUUAUAGGUUAUGAUAUCAAAAUGAUGCAGACCUGUAAUGGCGCAGCAUAGCAGAAGCUACAGAAAUAACAGGAUAAAGAAGAUUCUCAAAUUGUGCAACAAAUCAAGAAGAAGAUGUCUCCCUUAUUUGAUAAUUUGGAUCUGGUAGAGAUCUAUCAUAAAUUCUUGUUACACAGCACCUUCACAUACAAUUAUAUGACUGAUACAAUAACUUUCUAGUUUAAAAAAAAAAAACAUUUUACUCUAUCCUGAUUAGGAUAAUAACAUGCCCGCAAUUUCAUCUUUAAACUGCACAACAUUCCAACUCACCAGAUCUGAAAAUCAGCAGCACACACAAUUUACAAUGAGAAACUCUAUCCAAUGAUGCCAAGAAGGCCAAACAAAGAAUAAAGGAAACUUGAUGAACUUGCUGAUGAUAUUCUUGAUCUUCUACCUCUAAUUAGGUAAAUCUAGGUGGCUGCCUUAUUAGGGGGUCUAAACAGACUAUGAAAGUUAUGAUGACAUUUCUGAACAUCACAUAGUGAGUCUGACCACCAUGUUAUCGCUCUUAUAAGUUGUAAGAUAGCAAUUCUCUGAAUAAAUAAUAAAGCAUGCCAAUCAACAUAAUGCUAUAUAUCAAGAACUUGGCAACUGACAAGUUCGGCAGAUUCAAUAUUCUUACUGGCAACGACCUUCCAGACAACUGUUUCUGAUUCAGCCAAUGAGGCAGAAUGCUCAUGCAAGGAGCCAUCAAAAUGAGAAGUUGAGCUCAGUGCUAAGGAAUUCAAAUUAUCACGAAGACCAGCCUGCAUGACUACAAGUCUAUGAUUGGCAUCUCUUGUGACAACAUGAAUCUUUCCAUGAAAACCAGCAAGAAGAUGAGGAGAAUCUGAAUCUCCAGAAUCAUAAAUAGGAACUUUUCCUAUAACAACUUUCCAGGCAUCUUCUUUUUGAUCAUACACCUUAAUCUUACCACUAUCUUGAGAACUAGAGGGAUCUAAUGAAUAUAAUUCACCAUCUACCACAACACUCAACUUUGUACCUGCCUGGCGUGCAGGCCAACCUUCUCCCAUGCCAGCUGGCAUUUCAGCCCAUGAAUUGGUUUCAGGAUCAUAUAUUUCCCCCCCAGCAUCAACAAAGAAGGGCCACGAGUAUAAACUUUGAGGCACACAUAAUCUUCCCCUGUAUGAAGUCAUCCCAGUGGCAAUAGGCUUCAGCAUGUCUGGCCAAAAGGCAUGAGAUUUUGAGAACGGCAUACUUGGAACUUCAGACCAUUUAUCUGUGCAAGGGUCAAAAACUUCAGCAGACUGAAGAGGAAUCAGUCCCCCUCCUAACUGACUAACACCUCCAACAACAUAUAGCUUGUCGUUCAAAAUGCUUGUCUUGCAAUAAGCCCUCCCUGUAUACAUGGGAGUGACCUCACUCCAUCUAUUUAGGAUUGGGUCAUAUCGCCAGACGCAACUAAUGGUUGAAGCUUUAAAAAAGCCACCAAGCACAUAGAGGCAUCCAUCAACAGCACCAAUUGCACAACCGCAAAAGGGCAUUUGAUUCAAUGCCUGCUUUUGCCCAAGCCAAGUCCUUAUUGUUUCAGCAAUUCUAAUGCGCUGUCCCACCACGUUCCACAACCAAAGCCCAGAGGAACUGUUCCUAGAUUCUUCUGCAUAAACAUUGGGCAUCUGAGGCAACCUCUGCCAUGUUCUUGACAAAGGUUCCAAAGCAUGCCAUGAAAGUUCAUCUUCAACUUUUGUCAAUACAUAUAGCCACUCUUCUGUCAAUCCAAGUUCUUUUCUUAAUUUAAACAGUUCAUUGCUCAUAAUAGUUUCCUUCCACUUUCGUGACACCAGCCUCAGAUUGAAGUAGUAACUUCUGGGAAUUUUUGCAAGAAUCUGGAUUGACAACUCAUCAGGAAGGCUUGGAAUCAGUCUCGGUCUGUCAUCACAAAAGCUCGAAGUUGUCUUUUGCCUCUUGCAGCCGCCAUUGAGAGACACCUCAUUAAAUUGGUUUGUUCUACACUUGGUACUAGUUAAACUGAAAAUAGCUCCCAUUAUGAAACUCCCAGUUAGCAAUUCCAACUAUGAACUUGGAGAAUGCUGAAUCAGAAAAAGAAAAAAAAAAAAAAAAUCAGUGACAGCAAUUUCAGCUAAAUCGAAAGGAAAAUAAGCAAGACGAUUUUCAAGGAGUGAACAGAAGCACGUAAGGAAUAGUCACCAAAACUGUGACAGAUAUUUCGCUUUCUCUUAAAAGUUCUGAAUUAUCACAUCUUGACACUCAGCAUUUGAGUAGACAAGUACCAUGAACUGAAGGCAAAGGAGAGAGAAAAUUCAAGGGCCAUAUAAAUAACUUUCAACCCCACCUUCUCUCUCUCCCAAAUGUUUCACAUUUCAUAGACUUCCCAAUCAUUCCAUGUAAUGCAUUCAGAUAUCAGAAGAUUUCUAUGUUCAUAAAAAGUUGAAUCUUUUCAUCAAAUUUAAGAGAAAUAGAAAAUUCAGUGCUCACGGAAUUAACUCAUUCUAUUAAAAAGACAAAUAGGCAUCAAAAACAAUUUACCACUCACCCCAGUACUGGUUCUUAAUCCUCACAGAAACAAGGAAAAAAAUCUUUAUCGGAUCAAUAAACAAUCCAAAACACCAAAUACUCUUUAAAAGAAGAAAAAACAAACAAAAAUCCUAUCAAUUCAAUCGUUUCCUACUGUUCGUUCCGAAUCCAAACAAGCAAUAAACGCACAUCAAGAUGAAAGAAACAAAAAAAGAAGAAUAAAAGUAUUCAGCUAAUCAAGCAAAAAUUUCAAUAAAAGCUUUAACAUUUAGGUAAAAUGACUCUUCAAAUUUGCAAUUAAAAGAAAAACAUAAUCUCGUCAAGGAAUUCUCACCUUUAGGUAAAAGCCGAGAGAGUCAAGCCAAGAGAACCAGAAGAAGUGUAAGUAAGAACCAGGACAAAUUAAAGCAUUAAUCUGUACCUAUAGAUUCAAGGAAUUUUCCUUUUCUUUUCCCCUUUGUUUCCUGUGCGUGUAUAUACUGUUCUGUGUACUACAACUAUAAGCACUUUUUAACGAUAUAUAUAAUUUGUUCAUAAUUUUUUAGUUUUCAAGCUUUCACUGCUGCGUCUGCUUGACUUCAUUCUUCAAAAUAAAAUAAAAUAAUAAUAAUAAAAUGUUGACGUGCUACCUGUAAAUAUCCACCCAUUUACGUGUAAAUUUCCAAUUAAUUAAGGUUUAUUUCUGAAACACCAGUAAACUUUGGCAAUGAGGUGUUACCUACGCAUACGCUUGAACACCUGCUUGCACAGCUGCCGGAGACAAUAGAUUUUAAUUUUAUUUUUGUAUUUAUUACAAAAAUUAAAGACAUCUGAAAUAGACUUGGCCAAAGUCCAGAGCACCUGCCACAGUCUCCUAGUAAUUUCCUACCCUUUAUAAUUAAAUAUUAACUAAAAUGCUCUUUAUUUUUGUUUAACCUCAAUAAAAUCUUUUAUAUUUCUGUUAUUUAUUUUAUUUCAUUUUAUUCUAUGAAUAUUAAUAAUUUUAAUAUUUGAUAUUAUUUAAGAUUUUUGUUAGUAGAAAAAGAUUAAGAAUAUUAGUUAAUAAAACCACUGAUAUAGUAUAUCAAUUAUAUUAACAUAUAAUUAUUAUAUUUGAAAAAAAUAAACUGCUGUUGGAGAUAUCUUAAGUUAAUUAAAGACACAAGUAAUUAAUAUAAAUAGGGAAUCGGCAUAUUUUUGCCCUAAUUGUUCACAGCUGGAAUAAUAUUUGCCCUUAAAUUAUUUAUUGGCUCAAAUAAGCCACUGAAAUUUCUAAAAUCAGUAAACUAAACUCUCAUUUAACAGAAAAAAUAAACAGUAUUUUCGUUAAUUUAUUUCGAUUUCAGAUGAAUCAACUCAGUCUUUUGUUAUAAUGCGAAUAAAACAAAAGUGAAAUAUAAUAUAAUAAAAAUGAAACUAUCCAAAAUAACUCUAUAAUUUCAAUCUCUCUUAUUUUUCAUGCAAAAUAUAAUGUAGAAAAAAUAAAGCUCUCCAUCCAUCUAACAGCAAUUCAAACCCUCUCCUAAAAGCCAAACUAUCAAUUUUUUCCUCUCCUCUAUUCUCUCAAAUCAUAUUAAUUUAAUAAUAUCAAAAAUACUGAUAUGCUUCUUUUUUUUCGGUGAAAUUAAAUAUAGUUAUUUGAAACGUGUCAAUAAUUAGAAAAGAAAAAGCCAUUUUAUUUUUUCUUUUUCAAAGAGAUAGCCUUUUAUCUCUUUCUAUUCCUUCCUAGAAUCAUCUUCAAAAUUAAAAAUUUGGAUUUUCUUUCUAUUGGUACAACAGGAAAACAACUGAAGAAAAAUAUCCUACCCUCCCAUCAAAACUCAUCGUAAUUUGCAUCUUUCAAUUUUUUCUCUCUUAAUUUAUUUUGCAAGAGAUUGAGUUGAGUAAUUUAAAAUCAAAACAAGUUAGAGUAUCGGACUCAACAUUUAACGUCAUCUAAUUUUUCUGCUAUCUGAAGGGUUUGUAUCAUAUGUUUUGAAACUUUGAUGACUUAUCUGCACUAAAAAAUAGUUCAAGGACAGAUGUACUCCUGGCUAUAAACUUCAAGGGCAAAAAGGCACCUUCUCCCAUAUAAAUAUGAUGUUUUAUGUAUAGGAAGAUGAAAAAUUAUUUUCUAUUGACCGGACCCAAAAGACAUACCGUUGACUGCACCUAAAAAUAUAUCUCCACAUUUAUGUAGUUUUGGAGUUUUGGGUUCUGGUCAAUGCAAAGGGUCAAGAUUUUGCUUUUGCGUGGGAUAUCAUAUCAUAUUUCCAUGCUUUAUUCAGCCCAAUAAAGAAGAAGAAAAAGAAAGAAGAUCGGUUUAUUAGAAUGCAGAAACUAUGAUCUCAUCAUUAGCCAUGAGCAGGUUUUUUUAAAGGAAAUUUUACUAUUUAUCUUUUCUUUAAAUAAUUAUAAACAUAUCUCUAUUUUUUUAUUUUUCCAAAAUUAUUUAUAUUAUUUUUAAAAGUAUUUAUUCUUUACUUUUUUUUAUUUUUUUUAUUUUUUAAAAUUAAUUUCAGAUACUUUAUAGAUACUUAACAUGUAUCAUAUUUUAGUUAAUAUAUAUUAUUUGUUGCUAAAUAUUUGAAUUAAAUUUUAUUUCGUUUUAAAAAGUUUUAGAUACUUAAACCAUAAUAUUAUUUGACAAACGUAUACUUUUUGUUAUUUAAUUUUUUUUAAGUUUGCAUUUUAUUUCAUUUUAAAAAGAUUAAAAAAUCUAAUGUAUAUUUAAUAUAUAUCAAAUAUAUACUUUUUUUCUUCAAAAUAUACUAAAUAUAUACUUCUUUUAUCUUGUAGCAAUUUAUCUCAUUUUUCAUAUAUGAUAUUUUCAAGAUAUCUCCAAAUUUUUAGAUCAGAAAAAUACCUUUUAGAUUUAUUUAUUCAUCAUUAAUAUUACAAGAUUAAAUAAAUGUAAUAAUAUUUACAAAAAUUAUUAUGUUUUAGAUUCAUUAUCUGUCAAAAAUAUACUAAACAUAUAUACAUUUUCUUCAAAAUAAAUCCAACAUAUACAUUUUUAUUUGAAAAACCAAAUCAAAUAUUUUUAUAAAUAAAAUCCCGUUUUAAAUAUUUUUGUAAAUAAAAUUUUAUUUUUAGGUAUUUUUAUUGUGAGCAAUUUUGCGGAUAUUUUUAUAAUCAUUCUAUAUUUUUGUAGGAUUUUUAAAAGAAUUUUUUUUUAAGAAGUUACUUAAGAAGAAGAGGAUAAAAAUUGUCUUAUUUUAUGGCAUAUUGGACUAGUAAAAAUUGAGAUAUCACAAUUUCUAUUUCCUUAUUAAUUAUAGUUUGUGGUCUUGAUAUCAAUUAUUAUAACCUUUAGGAAAAUUACACUUCAAAAGCUAGGUAUAUUAAAAUGAAAUCCCAUGCAUUUUUAGUGUGGGAUGCAUAAUUUGUAUAUUAAAAUCAUAACAAAUGUGGUACUUAGUUUUUUGUUUUUUUGAGUAAAUUAAGAUAACAUCUAUUACUAUUGAACGUGUGCUCUUUGGAAGAUUGCUAUAUUAUAUGAAUAACUCUGUAAUAAGUAAUUAAAUAAUUAAUUUUUCUAUAGAUCAUCUCACCACUUGAAUUAUCUCUGUUUUCAUUCAUUGGUGAAAUCCUAUUUGAAUAGGCAAAACUCUUUUAGCAUUGCCAAACCAAUUGCUUAUAUGCUACAAAGCUGGAUUUAUUAAUUAUUGUGAAGCAAAGAAAUGUACUAAUACAAAAGGCGACCUAAAUUUACAUGUUUGGCUGCUCCAUCUUAAUUUGCUAAGAAAUUUCAUAACAGCAAAUACUUCCUCUUUUACAAUAACUUGACAAGAAUUUAGCUAGUUAUUGAUUACUAGCUACUGACAAUAAUCAUACUAACUAAUCGAUCGAUCGAUCUAGCUACACUACAGUAGUCAUUGGACGUAUAGUCAAUGUCAAACUAGUUGCAGAACUUGAUUGAUCCAUGUACCCCUCACAUUUUCUUUGAGCAUUGGCAUUGCAAGGUAGAUAAGAUUCUGAUACCAUUUUACCUGCAUACGUGCUGAAACACUUGCAUACAUCUCCAUGAAUUUCACUUCCAUUUUUCAGAUAUGAUUUCGGGAUAGAAGAAGCCGAUGUUGCCAUUAAAUUUUCGUGCACUAAUUCUGUAUAUACGUCUAUUUCAUCUUCUUCUUCUUCUUCUUCUUCCUCUGUGCUCUCUUGGGUUUUUUCUUCUUGUAUAAGCUCGAGCUCUUGUAGCUCUAGCUCCUCUUCUUCAUCGUCAUACGCAAUAUCAUCGAAGGGUAUACGUAUAAGCUUCAAGAUGAGACGACCAUUUUCUCUAUAUGAUUCGAAGUAUUCAUGGUGCUCUAAUCUUUCUUCUCUAAGGAUCAAUCUACCAUUAAAAUAAUGCCUAGUUAAAAUCCAAGGCGUAUGACUAGGCAAAUUGCCUGUUCUUGCUAACAAAGGAAUUGUUGGUGGAUACCUCUUUCGCUUUUCACAUUGCUGCUGAUCUCGCUUGCCAUGAUUAGGAUGAUAACCAGCCUCAUGUUUCCACAUUAUUGUUGCUCUUUCUUCUAUACCCGAGUUCAGGCAAACACCACUCUCUGUCCCAAUCAAGUCGUCCAACAUGGAUGACCAAGAGGAGUAUGGUGAGGAAUCAGCUACUGAUUGAAACAAAGAUGAAGAAGAUGUAGUUGAGAGUGAUGGCGAUAAGAGCAUCGGUGAGGGUGGUGAAGGCCGCUUACAAGAAUGGAUAAUCAAGGGGUGAUGAGUUGGGUCUCGAGGGUGUAUUAGGGUUUUCAGACCAGGAGAUGCUGCCCAACAUUGUUUCGAGACUUGCAUGGAAGAUGGCAAUGUUGUUGACCACAAUAUAAUUCUACACAGCGAUGAGAGUAAGGACUUACCCCUGUAAAAUAAGUUCUUUUCACUUAUAUAACCCAUGCCUUUUUUAUGGAAGUAAACGUGGGGUUUACAGAGCUAAUACAACUGAUAAAGACAGUUUGGUUACCUUUUUAGUUGCAAGGGCCUGCAAGAAACAAGAAUAUUAUUAACCGGAUUGGGUUCGGGAUUUUCAUAAUAUAAUUAUUAUUGGAAAAAGACCGCAGUUAGUUAUUUUUCACUGAUCAAUCACAUCAAAAAUUGUUUAAUGAAAUUUAAAAAUUUAACAGUUUUUUUCCUUAUUAAUUAAUAGCUGAUUUAAAUUUUUUAUUUAUUUUAAAUAAUUUUUGAUAAUUUAUUUAAAUUGCAUUCAUAUAAUUAAAUUUUUAUAAUUUAUAAAAUAAUAAUUAUUUUAAAAUUACACUUAAUAAUUAAAUAGCUAUAAUAUUUGGAAUUAUCACAUUUAAAUUAAAAAAGUUUAUUGAUAAAAUCAAAAUUUUAAUUUCUAUUUUCAGAAUAAAUUUAUAAAUAUUUUAAUAAUAAAUAUGAUCAAGCAAAGUAAAAUUAAUUAUAAUAAAUUAUAUAAAAUAAUAUAAUAAAAUAAAAUAAAUUUACCAUUUAUAAUUAUCUAAUAUAAAAAUAAUAACACUAAUAAAAUUUUAUUAAACAAUUUAAUUUUUUCGUUACCAUCUGUAAAAUAUUAGCUUAGUUGGUUACAUUGAACUAAUAAAUUAUGAGAUUAGCCGCGGUUUAAUCUAUUUACAAGAGUAAAUAAAAAUGCAAGUUGGAGAAUUGCGUUUUGGGACAAUAACAUUUGGCUACAGAAUAAUGUGAUUCUGACAGCAGUGCACUAUAAAUUAAGUGAUACCAAGAAACGUAACAAGCAAAGACUUGACAAGAAAGAAACACCUUUUGAUUUGUAAAGUUUAUAAACGGAAAAAUAACGGGAGAAGAUCAUUUUACAGUCAAGGAUCAUCCUUUUCAAGGAUUUUCUUUUUUCAUUUUUUCCUUCAGAAAAGAAAAGAAAAGAAAGCAAGAGGAGAUACAGAAGAAAUCAUUAUAUAUAUGUAUAUAGGUUAAUAAAACAGUUUGCACCUCUGAAGAACUAAACUCAAACAUUCUCCCUUUAAAAAUGAAUUUAAGGAUUUGGCAGUAUUUGUAUGAACCUGUAAGAAGCUUGCUAGAAUACUUUCUUCUUCUUCUUUUUUUCCAUUGUUAGUUUGGAUGAUGCAUGAAAAUAGUUUUGUUUAUUAAUAUUACAUUCUCCCUUUUCCUCUUCGAUUAAACUUCCCUCGAGUUGUUCAACUAGCAAAUCAAGUGUCUGAUUCAUAGUAACAGGAGAUCAAAUUUUUAAAGAAAAUCGCUUUCUUUCUUCCUUACAAUUCUUUGAAUUGCCAAAACAAUUAAAUAUCUAGAUUAAACUGACUUGCUAUCUUAUUAAUAAUUAGUGUUAUUAAUUUUUUUAUGUGCAGACAAACUGAUGUUUAAUUAAAAUGCCCAUGAUCAGAAUACCAUGGGUGUUAAAAUUAAGGUUUAUUAUAAAAUUUAAUUAAUGGUGAGCAAUUUCAUCCAGCCUAUGGAAUUAAGAUUUCUAACAAAGAAACUGCAUAAUAAAUUAAAGUGUUCUAAUUUUACAUUUCUAAUGUGUAGCCACAGCAUACAAAAACAUUAAAGAAAAAAAAUGAUUAAUUAGUAAGACAAAAAAGAGUGACUUACCUUAUUGAUAUAUUGUAUGUGAAUUACAGUAGUUCCAUUCUCCCCUCUUGGAAAUCAAAUGGUCACCACCUCUCUAAGAGAAAAGAAGGGAACAGGUUAUAAAUAUUAGGAAAAAGAGAGACUGAACUCUCUAAACUCAUACAAUUGCAGAGCCUUCUCUUCUACAUUACUACAUACAUAUAUAUAUAUAUAUAUAUAGAGAGAGAGAGAGAGAGUGAAACAGAAGAGAUGAGGGUAAAUAUAUAUAUAUAUAAUAAUUUUUAUUCACAGCCUCAUUUUUGGCACCACUUAUGAAACGAAACGGCUUCACUUGAGAGGAAUUUGGUUUAUCUGCAACCAAAUGUGCAUUCCAGUUGUUGCAAUCCGUGCGUAUCCAAUAUUGAACAUGAAGAGAUGGCUGCAUUCGAGCUUUUUGAUUGUCUCUACGUCUAGAACCCUCGGCUAGCUUUAAAACUAUUAGCAUAUAUAUAUAUAUAUAUAUAUAUAUAUAUAUAUAGAGAGAGAGAGAGAGAGAGAGAGAGCAUUGUUUAAUUUUGUAGGUGAUCGCAGCUUGAGGAAACAGAAUAUAUCAGCUGAUCUUUUGUUUUGGUUGAUACUUCUGGCAUCCAUUUCUGAUGCCAAGUCUUCUUCUCCCUUCUCCACUGACAAACUUUGGAGACACGUAUAAACAGUGACUUUGUUUUUAUACUAAUUAGCUACUAUCUUAAAACCAGACAUAUUCUUUAAUCAUAACUGCGAGCCCCUCUCGGAUUACUUUUGGGGUACUACAACAGUAAGUAAACUAUAAUUUCACAGUGAACCCUAAGGUUCACUUAUAAUCAGAUUAAGAAGAGGAGAACUAGGCUAUGUUUUGAGGUUGUCAUAGAAUUUCUAGUCAACAAUAUUACUAAACCCUAAAACAUUAAUCGUCAACCGUCAGAUGGAAACAAAAAGAGGAGAAUUAAGAUCUGCUGUGGGGACUACUUGUCUAGUGAGCAGUUUAAAAGCGUACAAAUUCAACGUGGGAAACAUGUUCGAUGUCCACGUGGGUAGCUGAUCACCAUAUGUAAAACAUCUCAAUGCAAUAGAAACGUUCGCAUCUUGUCUCUAUCUAUCUCUCCAAAACUUGCCUCUUCAAUAUAUAAACCUUCCUAAAUUAAUAUCCAAGUAUAUAUGAUUUUCAUUUUUCCUAAACUUACUAACCUAAAGUCCCCUAAAAUACAAAUAUAUAUUACACAAAUACCAUAAAUUUAGUCGUUCAACUUGAAUAAUAUUUUGAGUUUGAAUUAUUUUUUAUAAUUAAAAAUAAUUACCUACAAAAUCUAUAAAAAAAACUAUUAACUACCCAUUAAAAUCUUUAAAAUGUAAAAUUUGACUGAAUUAUGGAUAGUGUAAAUUUAUUUCUUGGGAAAUUCUCUUGGGAUGUUAUGUGGUAAUAAAUUUUAAAAAAUAAAUAUUACCCGCAGUGUUAGAAAAUGGAAAUUCUGAAUGCAUUGAAGACCAAUCAUAACCCAUAAAUGUGUAUAUAUAUAUAUAUAUAUAUCAGCAAAUUGUGAUAUGGUAUUUACCACUCAGAGAGAUAUCCGCCAACGCUUAGAUGCUGGUAGAAUUACUCAACCGUAAUCAAAAACCUUAUAUAUAUAUAUAUAUUUGCACAGAGAAUCCGAAAUCUCGCAUGCAGAAAGCUGUAAUAAAAAACAUAAGCAUAUCUGGAUAUGAUGAUGGACCACUAGAAAAACUGGGAGUGAUGAGCAAAAAUGGGUGGACCUGGAAUAUGGGUUUGGUGCAACCAAGGCAGCAAGUUCUUACGGAUAGAUAAUUUGUAUAUGUAGGAGUUGUGUAUAUGUAUAUGUAUGUGUGUGGAAGUGUGCAAGAGCCAGCAGCCCAAUCAUGAGCCCUGACAAGAGUACCAGGCAGGAGAUAUUUGGAGGAAGCUAGCUGUACUACAUACUAUAUAUUAUCAUAACAGCAAUAAUAUCUCCAUUUCCAGAAACAACCGAUCGAAUCCCUUCUAUCUUAUUUAUUUAUUUAUCAUCAUCAUCAUCAUUCCUAACAACAAAAUUGUAAAUAGGGUACCUUGGAAAUUGGUCCCUGUACUUUGAUACUGCCACUGCUCAAUCCAUCCCUCACCUGCACUUUUUUUGAGGGGCUAAUGGAACCCACCACGCCAACAUAUUUUCCAAGUACUCUAACAUCAGCCUAUCUAAUUGUUCAUGGCCACACACCAAUACUUUAAUACACUAUGCCAUUUGAACGUUACUGUGUAUGAUUUGGAUGAUUUGGAGAAAUAUCAAAUUUUAUUCUCUUCUGCAGACGUGGUUUGUAAGUAGACCUAAUUCAUAUUUAUUGUAUUAUAUAUAUAUAUAUAUAUACUGUGUAUGAUUUGGAUGAUUUGGAGAAAUAUCAAAUUUUAUUCUCUUCUGCAGACGUGGUUUGUAAGUAGACCUAAUUCAUAUUUAUUGUAUUAUAUAUAUAUAUAUAUAUAUAUAUAUAUAUAUAUAUGAAUUACUUUCGGCUCACAAAUAUCGCCCAAAAUUUAAUGUAAUUGGAAAGUUUGCAAUUGCAAAAAGUUGUGCUCCAAUUUUUAAAUUUUAUUUUUCUUAUCAUGAUAUGUAUCACUUUUUGCUCUAACAUAAGCAGACACUUAACAAGAAGAAAUAUGGUUGUCAAUUUUGAAGAACACACAUUAAACAAAAUUCAAAAAUUUAAAUGAAGAAUCACUAGUGUCAUAGACAUGAAAUUAAAUAGAGUAGGAAUGUAAUGAAAUAGCCUAUCCACACUAUGGGAACCUAAUCUCUCUCAAAUCUUGACUUUUGUACUACAGCCUCCAUGAGCAUGAAAGGAAUAACUAAAUCUAUCAAAUAAAAGAUUGAUUCACCUAAACCCUAAUCAAGCUCUUAGUAAUCAAUCCUCAAAAAGAAACAAAACUCACCUCUCCUUCCCCAACAAAACCCUAACUUUUAUUUUUCUCUAUUUCUUUUUCAUGUCUAACUAUGAAUUGGCCUCAUAGCUGGUACUAGCAUCUCAAAAAUGCAAGUGGAUGCUGCUCUCAUUGUCAUUGUGUUGUAACUGAAGCACUUGAAAGCACUUACAUUUCCACCAAUUCCAUUAUCCAUUGAAGUCAUUCUUUGGUCUUGAUCAUAUAGAAUUUCCUUCUUCAUAGUGCCAUUACCAUGAACGUCAUUGGCACAGUCUUCAAAAUCAUCUUCUUUAUCUCCUCCAUAGUCAUUCGCUUGUAUGUCUUUACAUUCUAUCUUGCCUGAUUCUCCUUCUUCUUCUUCUCCUUUGCAACAUUUCUCAUACUNNNNNNNNNNNNNNNNNNNNNNNNNNNNNNNNNNNNNNNNNNNNNNNNNNNNNNNNNNNNNNNNNNNNNNNNNNNNNNNNNNNNNNNNNNNNNNNNNNNNNNNNNNNNNNNNNNNNNNNNNNNNNNNNNNNNNNNNNNNNNNNNNNNNNNNNNNNNNNNNNNNNNNUUUUCUACUUUUUCUUUUUCUUUGUCCUCUUCGGUGCAACAGUUCUCUAGCUCAUUUUCUUCCUGCCCUUCUUCUUUUUCUUGCUCAAUUUCAUCUUCUUUUUCUUCUUGAUUGGGACAGUGCUCAAGCUCAUUCUCAUUGUUAUCUUCCUCAGAAGAAGAACAAUGAGGAUGAUAAACUCGAUCAUCUAAAGGAACAAGCUGCAAGGUAAGACGGCCAUUACAUCUCUGAGCACGAAAAUAGCCAUGAUGCCUAACCCUCUCUUCCUUAAGAAUCAGUCUUCCAUCACUUGUAUAGUACCGCUUCAAGACCCAAGGCAUAUGGCAAGGCAAAUUCUCAGUUCUUGCCAGCAAUGGUAUUGGUGGUGGAAACUCCUUCUUCUCCUUCUUCUCCUUCUUAGCUGCCCACCUUUCAUCUCUCCUACUAAGGCGAACACUGAAACUCUGAUCACCCUCUUUUUCUUCGGAUGCAGAUAUAAACAUAUCAUCAUCAUCUUUAAGAUCAAGACAGCUCUCAAUGCCAAUGUAGUCUCCAAUUAGAGUAGAAGAUGGAGGUGAAGAUGAGGAAUUAGCAACAGACCCCAUAAUGCUUGAACUUGCAGUUGCAUUAGAUCUACCACUAAUGAGACAUUGUUCAACAUCAUGGGUUUGCAUUCUUAAUGUUUUCUGUGUUUUGAUCGGAGAGAAAGAGAGGGGGAGAUUGGUGUUUUGGUAAUGGGGUCUUCAGUUGUGAUUCUUGGCUAGAUUUGCAUGAAGAGGAGAGAAGAGCGUUUGUUGGCAGUCUUUUUCCUUUUCCUUUUUCUUUUUGUGGGAAGUGAACGAAUACUAACAGUUGAAAACAGAGGCAGAUAUAGAGGAAGAGACUAGACAAUUAGAUUAUCGAUAAUUGCAGGGUAUUGAAGAGAGGGAAAAAGCUAGUGGCAGAGACAGCUAAUACCUGUGACGUCAAGAUUUGGUUCCUUAUGUGGAUUGCAAAUUUUCAAAAAUCUGAUACCAUUAAAAACUUUCCUGUAAAAGAAAUUACAAGAAAAAGAAAAAAAAGAAAAAAUCACACCACAUAAGUAAAAUCAUCAUCUGUUUAUAGCUAAUUAUCUUCUUAGUAUUAAGCAUGUAAAUAUUCACACUAAUUCCUGCCCCUGAUGAAAUCUGGCAUGUAUGUGUUAAGAGUUGUUCUUGCCAGACUAAACAUGGGACUGCAUAAAUUACAGGUUUAUAAUUGGUGUUUUCCUGAAUUUCUUCUCUUUUUUUUUUGAAAGAAAAACGUGGAAUGGAAUUGUGUGCCGCAUGCUAAUAAUAUUGGCCCACAAGACGAGUCUCAUCCUGAUGAAGACCUCAAUCCGGUCCAUUCAGUAACAUUAUAUGGAUAAUAUUGCAGUAAUGUUUAGGAUUCUUAGGUCCAACAACCCCAGCACAGGUUGCAUAAGAUUUUAUCCAUAGAAACUGAAAAAAGGAAAAAGGACCCAUAAAGCUUGACAGUAAAGGAAAAUAUCUGGCGUUGCAAAACCUGAAAUCAUUUGUAUAAUCUAGAAACACAACCAGCAGCAACUUAUAUUAUCUGUUAUUUAUAUUCUUUCCUCUAUUUUCAAGUCAAAACAAAUAAUCGGGCAACUCAUACAGAAUCAAUUAGACCUUUUUUCUUUUCUAAUAUCGAAAAGGAAACUGCCAUUCGGACAAGACAAUGGGAAUAAAGAAAAGGGCCUGUUCCAUGUCUAUUUUUACGAAAUUAGUUUCUAUUAUAAAGAGUAUAUAUAUAUAAUGAUUACCCCAUAACUUAAGGAUUGAAAAACUAGUGACAAUCAAGUUUCGUGUUUUAUUCUGCUACAUCCUUUUUGGAGAAACCAUGGUAAGGCUGAAUUGAUUAAUUUGCUCUAACCUCUGGGUCUUCAUGUUCAAUAUUGUCUAGUUAAUAAAAUUUUUAAAAAUCAAAUCAAAUCAGUAAGAUUAUUAAAUCCAUUGCAAUAAAGUUUGAAAAAAAAAAAGAACCCAGAAAGGAAAUGAAUGCUGGAAUGUGAUUACAAGAUCACAGAUCAUUUAGGACAAAAUAUUCCAUUUUAUACAUAUAUGAUGAUUAUAUAUAUACACGCAUGAUAUUUAAAAAACAAAAAAAGGCACUAACAUUUGACAAACAAUUAGAUCAAACAUCAACAUGAAAUUAUUGCCAACAAUAAUAUUUGACUAAUCAUAUACCAAAUCCAUAUGUUUUCAUCAGAGAUUCAUUUUCUCUGUGAUCACAACGUAUUAUAUUUGCAUUAUAUAAAUGAAAAUAAAGAUAAAAGAAAAAGAAGAAAGAAAAGAGUACGUACCAGAGAACUAAUUGGAGAUUUGAGGAGAAAUAGCAGGAGGAGGAGAUGGGUCAACAAUGGCAUCUCCUCCCUCCUAGGCAAUUCUCCUCAAAAGGAGACGGCAGAAUUAAUAUAAGGAAGAUUUGGGCUACCAAGAAAGACAACUCACAACAGGAAAUCAUACACGCAGCCAGACAGGCAAUGUAUUAUGUAUAGGCACCCAAAGUUUACACCCUUUCAAGUUUCUAUAUAUUCUCUUUUAUAUAUAUAUAUAUAUAUAUAUUUUUUUUUUUUUUCAUUUAUGUACUUUCUUUCUUUCUUUUUUGUUUCACUCCUAUUUUCGACUGUUGGAAUGGAAGAGAGGACACGUAAUACAAAUGUAAUAUUGCCUGUCCUUAGGCGGGGUUUAAGGGAUUAGAAUUAUUAAUAGAGCUGAUCUCAGCCACAAGUAUAUACUUUAAAAUUAAUUAGCUGUUUUAUGGGGUUUUUGUUUUUCAGAAAGUUUCAUAGGUUAAUUUGGAAAUUUAAUAUACUUUAAUUAAGUUAUAUUGAAAAUUACAUUUAUCCUAUCCCAUAACAACAAUAAAAACUAAAUAAAUAGAUAACAGAUUAUUAUUAUUAUUAUUAUUAUUAUUAUUUUCAGUUUUAAACGGUAUAUAUUUGUAUUAUAAAGUUUUUUUGAUAUAUGCCUAACUUUUAAUGUAUAGACAUAAUUUUAAUCAUGUAAUUUUAAAAUGGUGUAUAUUUGUAUCAUAAAAAGUAGGCAUAAUUUUGACAUAUGCAUAGUGAUGAUACAUUGUUUUAUACUUUUAUUAUAUUUAAUGAUAAUUAUGUAAAUAUAAUUAAUAAAUUAGCUAACAAAUUACUUUUCUAAUUAAAUAAUAAUUUAACUCUAAAACAAAUUCAUUAUAUUUUCAUCAUUAAUUUAUAAAUGUCAAUUAUAUUAAUUAAUAAUAAAAAAAUAAAAGGAAAAUAAUCCUAAAAUAUUAAAUUUGAUGAAUUCUUUUAUUAUACUCUUUAUUAAAUUUUUGUUGUACGUAUUUAAUUUACAAUUAGUCAAAAGUUUAUAUAUGUAAAUAGCAACCACUAUUAGUACAUUUAAAAGUACAUACGUAUAUCCCCCUUAUAAAUUUAAAUUUUUAGUACUAAAUAUUAAUAGAAAAUCAGGAAUGAUAUAUUAGACAAGAUUUACUUAUCGCACAGGUAAUCCUUUGUGAUUAUAAUUCAUUUUGUUUUGUUUUUGGGAGAUUAUUUAUGGAUUUAAUUUGUUGCGAGUAAGAACAGCACUGGAAAAGGAAAAAGGAAGAAUAUAGAUGCGUGAAAAUGGUGAUUGAAGAAGAAAUAUGCGUAUAUUAUUAUAUCUAAGCUUAUACUGAAAGAGAGCAUUGAAGAAGAAGAAGAAGAAAUAUCUUCGAGGGGACAAAAAGGAAGUCACGACCCCGAAACUAGUUGGCAUGUUUCCAUCAACCACUCACUUCAGAAAACCUCCUAGCAGAACAGUGCAUGUUCAGGAUAAUGGAUGUUGAUAUUCUGUCCAUACCACCCAGAAGCUUGGAAUUUUUGACAAAAGGUAUACAUAUUUUAUUGCAUUAUUAAUACCAUACACUGAAUUAGUCCAUCUAGACAACAAUGACUACAGUUAUCAUUUUAAUGAGUUUGAGCACUAGUAAUUGUUACUGUUUAUGUUUAUACAAGAGGAAUCAGCUAGUAAUCCAUAAUAUUCGAGUCACCUGUUAGGUAAAGGCAAGUUCGUAAAGCAGGUGAUCUGAAUUAUGCAGAGGAAAUAAAAGGAACAACUCAGAAUUAUAAUGCAGUGCACCUGGAUGGUUAACGAAAAGCCUGAAACCAUGCAUGACCAAAGAGCAAAAGGAUUAGACACAGCCCAGAUCAGGUUUUCCUAAGGACCCCUUUCAAAUCAGAAUCUACAUAAUAAAAAGAGUUCCAACUAUGCAGGCAAAAAGUACUAUCAAGUGACAUGCUGAAAUCUGUCAGUACAAGCACAUUAGUUGUGUACAGAUAGAACAGGGGUAUAUUGACCAUCAUGAACUUCAUUGACUCAUUCGGACACAAUUGUACAGUUUUUGGCUUAUUGGUUUAGUACAGGGCUUUCAGGUUUCGAACUUGAGUAAAUCACACUAGAAAGCCACAGAGUUUCUCAGAGCAAUUCUGCAACGGAGGUUAAAAUGUACAUCAUAUUUCGCAGGACCAUUUUGUAGCUAGAUUUCUGGUUUUUAGGUAAAAAAGAAAUUGAUAGUCUAGAGAUUGCUGAACUUAAAGUUCAGUGAGAUGACAUAUUCAGUUCUGUUCGUUAAAAUGCUCUGGAACUGACUGAAAAAAAAUACAAGACGACUCCGCUGGGGAUCGAACCCAGAAUCUCUGGUUCCGUAGACCAGCGCCUUAUCCAUUGGGCCACGGAGUCACUUGCUGAAUGCAUCUUAUCAAUUUUUAUCUAAAUAAUGUUGCACCACUAAGUUAAAUAUAUAUCAAUUCGAAUUAGCGACGUGGUAUGGAAAUGGAUGUGAAUCGCAUUUGUCUUUUAUCGCUAACAGACUAGAAAUAGAAUUUAGAUUAAUAUUUCUUAUUUAUACGUAUAAGCUUGCAAUUUAUGGACAACUCCUCGUUUACUAGUGCUUUAAUUAUAAAAUUAAAUGAUAGAUACAAUCUCAUAAAAUUUUCAGUAUUUGAUAUUAUUUUGUAAAAUUUUAAAAAUAAUAAUAAAUUAAUUAUUUUUUUAUUUUUUUAUUUUUUAAAAUUUUAAAUUUAUUAAUACAAUAAUAUAGAAGUUAGUUAUUAAUUAAUUUUAAUAUUAUAAAUCAACAUAUUAAUAUAAUUAAUAUUACUAUUUUUUAUAAUUAAAAAUUUAUUAUAUAAUUAAAAAUUUAAUUUACUUAAAUAUAUAUUAAAAAUAUUAUUUAAGAUGUUAUUUUCUAUAUUAAAAUUAUUAUUGAAUACAAAAUUAANNNNNNNNNNNNNNNNNNNNNNNNNNNNNNNNNNNNNNNNNNNNNNNNNNNNNNNNNNNNNNNNNNNNNNNNNNNNNNNNNNNNNNNNNNNNNNNNNNNNNNNNNNNNNNNNNNNNNNNNNNNNNNNNNNNNNNNNNNNNNNNNNNNNNNNNNNNAUUGAUAUAAAAUUAUUUAUUAAUUAAUAUAAUAUUAAAAUAUAAUUAAUAUCAUAUCUUUUAGGAUUAGAGUGAGUAUUUAAUUAGGAAUAUAAUUUAUUAUUUAAAAAUAUAUAAAUUUUAAGUGUUAAAAAUUUAAACAUCGAAAAUAAAAGGAUGAAUAAAUAUUUAUUAGUCCUAGUUAAUAUUUCAUUUCUCUAAUUAGUUUUAUAUAUUACGUCACAGAGAUUUUAUUAAAAUAAAAAUAUAAUUAAUGUGUGCUAAAACACUAAGAAAAAUAUAACAAAAGCGAGACAAUUGUAAAUGGCUUUAAAUUUUGCAUUAUUAUUAUUAUUAUUAUUAUUAUUAUUAUUAUUAUUGUUAUUGUUAAAUCUGUUCAAAAUUCAGACUGAAUUAAUUGGUUUGGCCAAAUUUAUUUGUAUGGAAUUAAUAGAUUUUAAUAAAGUUUAGUCUAUUUUUAAAAAGAUAUAUAAAUUUAUUUAUAUCUUUUUAGGUAGAGCAAUAUAUGGGAUCUCAAAAAUAAUAUUUCAAAAUUUACUUGGAAUAUAAUUGAGUUUUUUUUUAUUUAACCUCGAGCAAACUUAAAGUAAAUAUUAUUAUUAAAAAAAAUUUAAUAGGCUUGAAGGAAGCAAGUAGAUAUCUCCACUAAUAAAUAAGUGUAAUUAUUAUUAUUGCAAGAAAUUUAUCAUUUUGUUCUAUAAACAAAUCGUAUUGCAUGUUUUAUAAUUGACAUGAUGUAAAAAUUGACCCACUUUAAAGCAAGACACUAAUCUUUCAUAUCUUAACUCAAUUAUAGAGCUGUUUAUGGGGCUGAGUAUCCGCCUGCCCGUCUAGGCCGCACCUUUCGGGUCGGACUUGAACAAUAAUUUUUGUGUACAAGUCUAGCCCAGCUCGAACUCAUAAAAAGCCCGGUCCGACCCGGCCUGAUGUUUAAUUUAGUUAGAAAAAAAAUGUCAUACCUAGUAUUCGAACUCUGACCUUCAACUUAUAAUUAAGUGCUACAUACCACCUAGUUACCUAUUAUUUUUGUUUAUAAUUUUAUUGUUAUUAAUAAUAUAUUUAAAUAAAACUAAACUCAAGCCCGACCUGAACCCGCCCAAUCCCGACCUGAACUCGUCCAGACUCGAUCCGUAUUUACAGAUUUAACAAUGUCGGGCCAGGCCGGACUUUUUAAAAAAUUUCGGGCUCAGGCUUGGGCUGAAAGAUAUUAAAAAAUUCUCGGGCUUGAACGGACUCAGACUUAGGCAAAAUAAAGUCAAACCCGGUCAGGCCCGGCCCGAGCUCGCCCAGGCCUGGCCAUGAACAGGUCUACUCAACUGUAACAUUUUAAUGAAAUUAAAUAAAUAUUAUCCUACUGCAUCUAUCCUUGACUGUUAAUUAUUAUUGAAAAAGUGGCAUGACAUAUUAGUGACACAGAUUAUAUGUUUUAAGUAUUUACCAACCUCAAGCAGUGUUGGCACUGCCACUUUCUCGGUCCAUCGCAUACAUUUUUGCUUCACGUAAAUAAUAAAUAUUUUAUUCUUAUAUGAUUGGCUUACGGAUAAUUUUAUUCAAACAAAUUUAUCUAGAAAUAUAGUGAUUAUUUAAUUAUUAUUGUUAUUAUUAAUAUUUCAUUUAAAAUUAAUAAGAGCUCUAUUAUUUCUGAAUAAAAGAAAAUGAGUAUGAUGAAAACAUUUCUAUUCAUCGUACAGUUAAAAAGUAAAUUAUGACAUAUUGAAUAAUACAUAUAACAUUAUAUCUUUCAGCAUGAAAUUGAAAAAGAAAAAAGAAGAAUCGUUUUCUAUCCAAAAACACUAUAUUCAAACAAAUAAUUGUGCAACUGUUUUCUGCCAAAAAAUCACUACUAUCAUUUUCACUUAUAUUACUGGCCGGAAGCUUGAAUUUAAUUUUUCAAUAUUUUACCAAAACUCUUACUGCUUGAAUUGCAAAAAUCAUUUGAACCAGAAACCCAAACUAUAGAGACUGAAAAAUUAAUGCAACUUUGCCAAAAAACCAAAAGACGACUCCGCUGGGAAUCGAACCCAGAAUCUCUGGUUCCGUAGACCAGCGCCUUAUCCAUUGGGCCACGGAGUCACCUGCUUUUUUUUGUACGACUAAUAUUCUAAACCGAGGUAGUGAUGUAAAUCUCCCCCGAGCGUCCCUCAACUUGGUACCUAGCGUGAGCUAGUUGAUGUUAGUUGUCUGCAUAUCUGUAAUAUAUUUGUCGAAAUGCUAUAUUAUUAUUCGAAUAGAUUUUGUCAGUUACAAUUAAAUCUAAAACCACCAAGUCCUCAUGCGUUGAUUUUGGAUUUUAUUUUUUAUUUUUUUUGCAUAUAUUAAUUUAAGCAUUUAUAUCUUGAAGCAUACUCUGGUAAAGCUAGCUUGUGGAUUUGUAUUAGAGAUUUUGUUUUAUAAAGUACAAACAAAUCAGAGUGGCGCAGCGGAAGCGUGGUGGGCCCAUAACCCACAGGUCCCUGGAUCGAAACCAGGCUCUGAUAUAGAGUAGCUUCCCUGUCUAUUUCUUUUCUUUUCUAAAAUAAAAUACUUUAAAAAAAUUGUUUUGGACCACAUUGUUGAAUAAGUAGGUGAAAUAUUUUGAAACGUCAGUCUCCCUCUUGAUCACAUGUCAAUCUUAUAUAUCAAAAAGCCAUGACUCAAUCUCCUUAAGUACCAGAAAAUCCAUUUGUUGUUUCAUAUGCAAUUGAUUCAUUUCUUCUUUUGCAACUUCAUCGUUCCAAGAAUCAAAUGCAUACGUAGACUCUGUGCUACUUUGGACAUAUAUGACAGGUAUCUGACGAUGAUCAGUUCUCUUUGAAUUUAAAAGAGGAGGUGGAGAAGCUGGGUUUCCAAUAUUAUUGCCAGUUAGCUGCUGAACAAGGGUCUUGAAGGUUGAGCUAUCAGUGAUAUAAACAUGGGGUCUUAACACUUUUAUUAGACUCUGGAAUUUCUUCUGAUGAUGAUGACGACGACGAUGAUCAUUCUUGGAUAUUUUCUUCUCCAUCUUCAGAUAAAAUGAACGUUAAUUGGCUUUGGUAUUAGCUUCACUCCUAUCACUUGCCUUGCAUUACCUGAGGCUCCUAAGACCUUUAUAUAUAUGCAUAUAUAUGUAUGAAUGUCAGGAUGAUGGGUGGAUACAAUAUUUAUUACUUAAUGAUGGUCAGAAUGAUGUUGAAAUAUGCUCUUUUUAAAAAAAAAAAAAAAAAGAAAAAAGAAAAUUCUGUCUAUUUAAGGAUGUUAAAACACUUGUUAUUUAGUAAACAUGCGUAUGUUUUAUUUAUGUAUAUAAAUUUACAAUUUCAAUUAAAAUAUUCACUAUUAAUAAAAUAAUUUAUAAGUUUAUGUGUGAAACAGUAGCAACUUAUCAUCAUUGCAUAUUAUAAUUAAUUAACUCUUCUUGCCAAAAGAGUUUUUGUGUAGAAUCCGGUCAAUGACUUGCUUUCAGCAAUGAAAAUGAUAUAAAUGAAUUAUUAAAUGUGUAUUACAUCAAAGAAUAAAGUAAUGAACAGAAUAUAUAUAUAUAUAUAUAUAGUAAUGUCAGUUAAUCAUAUUUUAAUAAGAAAAAGGUCGGUCUGAAACAAUAUAAUUGGGGGUGUGUUGCUUUCAUUCGAUUAGGGUCAGUGGUCAACAAAAUCAACGUAUCCAAAUCAUUUGGAACACAAAACGAAAAUGUAAUAUGUUCUGUUAUGAAUAUAAUUUUGGUCUGAAUUAUUUCUCUUUUUGGAGUCUGCUUCAUCUCUAAUAAUAAUAAUGAGAGACAUGAAUAUAAAAAUGAACUUGUAUGUAUGGUCAAAAUAAAUUAUCAGUCCAAUUUCUUUUCUUUUUUUUUUUAAAUAAAAUAUAACUUAAUGAUAAUAGUAGUAUAAAAUAAUUAUUUUUUUGUUUGUUUAUUUAUUCAACAACAACAAAAAGUAUAUUAGCUGUUGUCAGAUUGAAAACAAAUAAAUUGUAAAUUGUAACCUUAAUGUUAUUGAGGAUUUGGAUUGGGCCAAUAAAACUUCUUCUUAUCAACCUGAACCAUUUUUUCCAUUUCUAUUUAUAUUCAGUGAUGCAUGUGGCCUCCUAUGAGUUAAAAGAAAAAAGAAAACAUAAAAAUCAAUGGCUUUUCUUUUUGUUCUAUUUUUCUUUUAAGGAAUUUGGGAGGGGCAGGAAUUGCUCUUUUGGUAUUGCUUUUAUUGUCAUAUGGUCUUUGAACGAAAAUGAUGGGUCAUUACAUAAAUAAAAAGACACCGAAAAUGAUGGCCAGCAAGCAAUAUGGUACCUUUAUUAUCUCAUUAUUAUCUCCUACUUAAAGUCAAAUAAUAAUUGGUUUUUGUUUUUUAAAGCUAUAUAAUAAAGCAUGUUCUUAAUGGUCUUGGUCUGAUUUUUUAACAUGAAAUUUUAAAUAUUACUCAUCAUAUUGUUGCUUUAUAAAUGUUAAAUAUUUAAAAUUAAUAAAAGAAAUAAAUGAAAUUUCCCAUGAACUAAAAGGAAAUUGUUUUUUUUUCCUUACAUUAUCCAAUGUGGCAUUUGAUUAUGCUAAAGGGAAACUCCUUUUUUUUUCUUUUCUUUCUCUACAUAAGAAAUACAAAUUCAAACUCCAGAAUUUCCAUAAAUUGUUGCACAUUUAAUAAAAAGAAUCAAGAGCUGGGUUUGCUAGAUGUUGUUCUAGUGGGUUCGAACUCUCACAAUGGCCAGCAAAACUUGUAAUCUCCUGCUCAAUCUGAGGAUUACCAUUACCAAAAGAAAAUGGCUCGUGAUCAAUAUCUAAAAGCCAUGAUUCAAGCCCCCAAACUGCUGGCAGUUCCAUCUGCUGAUUAACUGAUGAAUCAAAUGCUGCGAUAUCUUCAUAAAUUUGGUUCCACGACCAUUGAUUUAUUUCAUCAUUUAGAGCCACGGCUGAGUUCCAUGAACUCAAUGACUCAAUGGACGCAUCGAAAGAUGCCUCCAUGCUACUUUCUUGUUCCUCUCCUCGGAUUUCAUNNNNNNNNNNNNNNNNNNNNNNNNNNNNNNNNNNNNNNNNNNNNNNNNNNNNNNNNNNNNNNNNNNNNNNNNNNNNNNNNNNNNNNNNNNNNNNNNNNNNNNNNNNNNNNNNNNNNNNNNNNNNNNNNNNNNNNNNNNNNNNNNNNNNNNNNNNNNNNNNNNNNNNNNNNNNNNNNNNNNNNNNNNNNNNNNNNNNNNNNNNNNNNNNNNNNNNNNNNNNNNNNNNNNNNNNNNNUACAUGAAGAACUGGAGGACCUAUAAAUACGAAAGAAAUGUAGUCAGGAUAGAUAUGAAGAUGCUGGAAAAUGAUAUGUAUUAGUUAAGAUUAGGUCUUGAAAGAUGCUGAAAAUGAUGUUGCUUCUCCACUAGGUUUUCAUGAUAGGAGUCCAAAUAAAUCUCUUCUUAUCUCAGAAAUGAACUACGACUUGACUAAAAUAUCAAGGAAUGUGCUAAGGCUUGUUGUUACAUGAAAUAUAUAUAUAUAUAUAUCUAUGCACAAGUUGGUCAACACAUAUAUGAUGUUGCUUUCAGAAUUAAGAAGAAAACUUUCAAGUAUGGAUCUAAUAUUUACAUAUAUAUAUAUAUAUAUAUAGAUGCAUGUGUAACCAGCUAAAAGGCUCUGAUUCUGAUGAAAUAUAAAGACGUAAUCCUAGCAAAAUAACAUGUAGAUAUAUGCAUGUGCAUGACUAGCUAAAUAUUACAUCCUUUUGAAUAUAAAGAAUAAAAACAUCAAAAAUAUGAUUUUUUUUUUUUUAAUUUUCUUAAAAUAUAGUUUUGGUUGUUUUUCUAUUUUUUUAUAGUACAACAAAAAAAAGAUAACUAAAUAAUAACUAUAUCUUAUUUUUUAAAAUAAUAAUAUUUUUUUAGAAAAGAAUUAUACAGUAGGAAUGAUAAUUUUUUAUUAGUUUUAAAAUAUUUUGAAAAAUUUUCUAAAAUUUUAUAUUUGAAAAGCGAAUAGACUUCAUAGUAAUUUUAGUCAAAUUUCAUAUGUCCAAAUUUAAAAUUAUCGGACAGAUUUGGGAAGGCUAAGAGGUACUCAAAUCUUCGGACAAAGUAAGAAAUAAAUAAAAGACUAAAAAAAAGAAAAAGGAAUUCAAAGAGAAUAAAAUUGAAAAGCACGAAAUGAGCAUUCUCGGAAAAAGGGAAAAAGAAUGUAUGAAUAAGAAUAUGGAUAAGAAAUGGGGCAGUGAUGUCGUUUCGGUAGCCUUUCUGUUUGGUGGGAUGGGCCUGCAUUUCCAUAAGGCUUCUCUUUUAACCCCAUCCUCUAAUCCCUUGACACCUCAACGCCUACUUACUCCACGUGGCCCUCUCCAGCGUCGUCUCGAUGAGUCCCCCCCCGCCAUUCCAAUCAUUUCAAAUUAUGGACUCACUUUUUUAUAUUUUUAUUAACAGCAUAAAAUUAGUUACUGCUAAAUCCCCAAGCCUAAAUUUAUUUACAGUAUGUUUGAAAAGAAAAUGGGUAGGGAAAAUAAAAUAAAGGAAAAAUAAGAAAUAAAAGAAGAAAAAUAGUUAUCUUUUAAAAAUUUAAAUUAUUAUUAUAUAUUUUAUUUAUAUAAUAAUAAAAAUUAAAAAUAUAUAUAUGUAUAUAUAAUUUUGAAAAUAAAUAUACAAAUUUAUUUAGUUUAUACUUACAAAACCUUUUUCCUCCAAGCUUUCACUCCACAAAAGAGGAGAAAAUGUCUUUUGCGAGGCCAGGUGAUUUUUUUUUAUUGAUGGGCCAUCUCUUUUCAUUUUUUUUUCUCUUUUUUUGAGAUUAAAAAAACUGUUAUUAUUAUUUUAAUUAUAAAAUUAAAUUAAUAAAUAUAAUUUAAUAAAAUUAUAAUAUUAUAUAUUAAUAUAUAAUAUUUUAUAAAAUAAAAAAAAAUUAUUUUAUUAGUAUAAUAAUAUAAAAAUUAUUUUAAAAAUAUUUAGUUAUAUAAUUUAAUACUUUUGGUAUUACUAUUUAUAAAAUUAAGAUUUUAUUAUACAAUAAAAAAUUAAUUUAUUAUUAAAUAAUAUUAAAAAUAUUAUUUUAUAAAAUUAUAAUUAUUAUCUAAUUAAAAAUUAAUUUAUUAAUUAAUAUAAUAUUAAAUCUUAAUUAAUAUAUUAUUCUUAGGAUAAAAUUAAUAUCAUUAUUUUAUAAAAACUAUUUACAUUUUUAAUAAAUUUAAAAAAUAUUUAUUAAUUAAUAUAACAUUAAAAUAUAAUUAAUAUAUUAUUUUUAGAAUUAUAUUUAAUUAAAAAUAUAACUUAUUAAUAAAAAAACUAUAAAAUUGUACAUAAAUUUAAAUUUUAUGUUGUAAAAAUAGUAUAUAUAUAAAAGUAAAAAUUUUAAAUGUUAAAAAUUAAGUAUAUGUAUUUAAAAAAAUCUAAAUUUUAAAAAUUAAUAUAAUAAAUUUAAUCCAUUUUCUUUAAUUUUUCACGCUCAAUUCUUUCCCUAGCUUCCCCCCGUUGCAAACAAAAGUUUGAAUUAUAUUAAUGGUGUCUGACAUUUGCUUUCUGUCUCAUUAAAAUUUGAGAAGCGUCAAUUUAUAAUAUAAAGCUCUUUUAAUGUCAUAUUACGGAUGAAUGGUUAAUAAAAUGCUGUGGGAUAUAAAAUAAAAAAUUAUUAAAAAUAAUAUAUCAAUAAGACUUAAAAUUGAAGACAAUAUCUAUGGUGUCUAUGGUUGGAAGUAAAAAAAAGGUAAGAAAAUAUAGUGGUGAAUCAGUGAUAAUUAAAAAAUAAAAAAAAAUUAAUUAAGCGGCUUGUUUAAUUAUCUAAAAAAUUAUAUAUUAUUUUUAGUUAUUUAUUUAUUUUAUAGUUCGUCAGUAAUUGGUAUAGCAGUAAUAUGAUAACCAUUCAGCAGAAUUUAGUGUUACCUAAUUUGCGAUUGGAAGAGUUUUAUAUUU
rnacentral:lncRNA from 1 species